CCUAACUUCCCUGCAGACGCUUACAUACUUUGUAGCAGGUGCCGACGACUCCGGUUGCAGUAAUUUGGGAGAGCUGCAGAAUUUGGACCUUGGUGGUACACUGGAGCUUAGGAAGCUAGAAAAUGUGACAGGAGCAGAUGCACAAGCAGCAGGUCUUGGAAACAAGAAAAAACUGACCGAACUGGAGUUAUGUUGGACCAAUAGUGACCAGGAAGCACAGAAUAAUAAUCAUAAAGAGGUGGUGGAAGGUCUCAAACCUCAUGAUGGGUUGAAGGCUCUGAGGAUAACUCACUGUGGGAGCAGAACUUUUCCAUGGAUGAAUACUUUGAAAGGCAUGGUGGAGCUCAAAUUAUCUCUUUGCAAAAAGCUCGAAGAGCUUCCUGCACUCUGGGAGCUACCACCUCUGCAAAUUCUUCACCUGCAGGGUUUGGAGAGUUUAGAUUGUUUGUGCAGCGGUGGUACUACACCCGUCACAUUUCCAAAACUGAAGGUGAUUGCCUUGUUAGAAAUGGCAAAAUUUGAGGCAUGGUGGGAGACAUAUGAGGUACAAGGAGAAGAUCCAGUAUUUCCUGAGGUUGAGGAGCUGGUGAUUAAGAAGUGUAAAAGUUUGACUGCAUUACCAAAAGCAGCAUCGGUGAUUACAGAAUUGUCUGGCAGAGUUGACACUAAGUGCCGCUCUGCAUUUCCAGUAUUGAGGAAAAUGACCCUAGGUGAGUUGACUAUGUUUGAAAGAUGGGAGGCAGGCGAAGGAAUUUCAGGCGAAGAGGUAACCUUUCCUCAGCUUGAGGAGCUGUCAAUCGAGUAUUGUGGCAGCCUGAGUGCACUACCAAAAGGACCAUUAUUGGCUAAGCAACCAUUUGGCGGAGCUGAAACUGUGUGCUGCCGCUCUGCAUUUCCAGCACUGAGGAAACUAGAAUUAUCUCAUUUGUCAGCCCUUGAGAGGUGGGGGGCAGCCGAAGGAACUCCAGGAGAAGAGGUAACCUUUCCUCAGCUCGAGGAGCUGUCAAUCUCGUAUUGUGGCAGCCUGAGUGCACUACCAAAAGGGUCAUUAUUGGCUAAGCAACCAUUUGGCGGAGCUAAAACUGUAUGUUGCCGCUCUGCAUUUCCAGCACUGAGAAAACUAAUAUUAUUUGAUUUGUCGGUCCUUGAGAGGUGGGGGGCAGCCGAAGGAACUCCAGGAGAAGAGGUAACCUUUCCUCAGCUCGAGGAGCUAUCAAUCACGGAGUGUGGCAGCCUGUGUGCACUACCGAAAGGGCCAUUAUUGGCUAAGCAACCAUUUGGCGGAGCUGAAACUGUGUGCUGCUGCUCUGCAUUUCCAGCACUAAGAAAACUAGAGUUAUCUCAUUUGUCAGCUCUUGAGAGGUGGGGGGCAGCCGAAGGAACUCCAGGAGAAGAGGUAAUCUUUCCUCAGCUCGAGGAGCUGUCAAUCACGGAGUGUGGCAGCCUGUGUGCACUACCGAAAGGGCCAUUAUUGGCUAAGCAACCAUUUGGCGGAGCUGAAACUGUGUGCUGCCGCUCUGCAUUUCCAGCACUGAGGAAACUAGAAUUAUCUCAUUUGUCAGCCCUUGAGAGGUGGGGGGCAGCCGAAGGAACUCCAGGAGAAGAGGUAACCUUUCCUCAGCUCGAGGAGCUAUCAAUCACGGAGUGUGGCAGCCUGUGUGCACUACCGAAAGGGCCAUUAUUGGCUAAGCAACCAUUUGACGGAGCUGAAACUGUGUGCUGCCGCUCUGCAUUUCCAGCACUGAGGAAACUAAAAUUAUCUCGUUUGUCGGUCCUUGAGAGGUGGGGGGCAGCCGAAGGAACUCCAGGAGAAGAGGUAACCUUUCCUCAGCUCGAGCGGCUGUCAAUCUCGUAUUGUGGCAGCCUGAGUGCACUACCAAAAGGGCCAUUAUUGGCUAAGCAACCAUUUGGCGGAGCUAAAACUGUAUGUUGCCGCUCUGCAUUUCCAGCACUGAGAAAACUAAUAUUAUUUGAUUUGUCGGUCCUUGAGAGGUGGGGGGCAGCUGAAGGAACUCCAGGAGAAGAGGUAACAUUUCCUCUGCUGGAGGAUUUGAAUAUUGAUUUCUGCCCGAAGUUGACUGAUCUACCUGAAGCACCGAAGCUAAGUGAAUUAUCCAUAAGAAGAAAAGGUGAUGAUCAGCAGCAAAUAUCCCUAGAGACAGCUAGCAGAUGCAUCCCUUCAUUGUACCGUCUGAAUCUGGAUGUGUCACCCGAUGAAACAGAAACAACAUUGCUGCAUGUCAAGAAUAAAUUGAAUGGUACACUCGCCUUGGCAGCUAUGGGGUUAGGUCGGUGCGACCUUUUUUUCUCCUCCCGCUCAAGCGCACUGGCGCUAUGGACAUGUUUUGCACAGCUAGUAUAUUUGAGGAUUUGGGAUUGCGAUGCUCUUGUCUACUGGCCAGAAAACGUGUUCGAGGUCCUGGUAUGCCUGAGGAACUUAGAUAUUUCCGUAUGCAGAAAUCUGACAGGACGCACACAAGCUUCUGAUGAGCAAUCUGCUCCAGCACCAGAACGUGGUGGACUCCUGCCAUGCCUGGAGUCUCUACAGAUAGUAGAAUGUAAAUCUUUGGUAGAGGUCCCCAUCCUGCCGGCAUCUCUCAAGGAAUUACAUAUUCACAGCUGCAGUGAUGAAAUCGAGUCCAUCGUAUUCUGUCAGCAGGAGGAUACGAGGUUGGUGAGUGGAGAGGGUAUUGUGCGGCCGAAGACGUCAUCAUUAAUUCCAGGGUGCAACAGCAGCUGUGAGGCCACAGCGUCUACAGCUGUACUGAAGCUGUCAUUUGCAGCCAACCAUCGCUUCCUUCCAUUUCCAUGCCUAGAAUUUCUAGCUAUAAUGCAUUGCAGUGGCUUGUCAGAGGUUGCCAAUCUUCCUCCGUCUAUCAAGGCCUUGAACAUUUCUUUAUGCGGCGAGCUUCAAUCCCUAUCAGGAGACCUCCGGUUGCUGGAAGAACUCUUGUUUUAUGGAUGCGAAAGACUGGUAUCCUUACCGGAUGGGCCUCAAGCAUACUCAUCUCUUAGAGUUCUUCGGAUAAUGAAUUGUGAAGGUAUAAAGUUGCUUCCGUCAAGCCUACAGAGCCGUUUGGGCUACCUCGAGGAGAAAUAUCUAGAUGCCCGUUACGAAGGUAAUCUCCAGUUUCUUUAUUUCUUUUAACAAAAUGGUCAAGAGCUCAAUUGGUGUUACCUAUAAUGCAACUCUGUGCUUAAACAUUCUGUUAGCUAUUACAAGAUGUGGUAGGAUUUAGUGGUAAGAAGUUUAUGAGUAUUACUCUGCGUUAAACAUUCUGUUAGCUAUCUAGCCAAGCCGUUCAUGAUGUAUACAUUAUAUUGACUAUUGAGUACAAUGCACCACUAAUAUUUAUGUGCAUGUGUGUCAUCGAAAUACAUUAACUUCGUGUAUUAUUGCCAUUCGGGUAUCUAAACACGUACAACCAGAUCAAGAACCGCAGUCAUCCUUGUAUAUCUCCUUUUUGUUCGUACAAAGAAUUUAUAGCUAUAAGAUGAUCUUUGUUGUUCACUUUUGAUACCUUGGUUGUAAACUUGUAAUUGCUAACUCGAAUCAUGUAAUAAAAUCAAUCAUCUUCCUUUAGUUGUAUUUAAAGCAGCAUGGCAUCAUGGAAUUAUUGCAGCCGAAUUCACUAGCUUCAAUUAAAGUGGCACUUGUCCUAGCGUUCCUCUGGAAAUUCAUGAUCACUAGCUCCGUUGUAUGCAGUUCAAGUAUGUGUAGUUUUCUUUUCAUGGCUUAUGCCUUUUGACAUAAAUAAUAAUUUUCCUUUGAAACAUUUACUAUUGGGUGCCACAGCAUAUUCUCCUGUGUAUAUAUAUACUUUCUAACUUUGUGUUGAUUUGCAUGCAUAAAUUCUAACAUCAUGGCCUGAUUGCCAGAAUUGCCAGAACCAACCUGGAAACGUUCAAUCAGGAAGCUGGUGUGCUCGAAAUAGUAGAUCAAGGCCUGACCAAAGAAAAUUAUCUCCAAGGUAUUUUUGCAAAGAUAUCACCAAGGUUUGUAAUAUUAGUGUUCUUGAUGAUUGAUUGGAAAUGAUGCUAGCUCCUAAUGCUGACUUCCUAUGCGCUGUGACUUCCUUGUAGGAUGGUGCCAGACCUGCAAAAGAUGGAUUACUGUGACUCUUGUUUAGAAUGUAUCAUAUGCGCAUUCUGAAGAUAUUCUCCAGUAAAGUCAAGGCAAAGUCCUAGAUUUGAGCAGAAAACAAAUCCUAGAUUGCAAGCUGAAGAAUUUAGCACACAGAGCUGCGUGCUCCAGUCUUUUAUCCGUCUUCAAACUGAAGACCUUUAUUUUGAGCAGAAACGAAGUCCCAGACUGCAAGCAGAAGAAUUUAGCAUACAGAGCUACGGGCUCCAGUCUUUUAUCCUUAUUUUUUCUUUUGAACUAUGACAUGUUUGCAUUCGUGUCUGCUUCAGCCUCCAGCACAAGCGAAACACAGGCAGAGGAUACUUGCCAUAGAGUAGACCAACAGUCCAACGUACUCAUGUUGUUGCUCGACAAGCUGUCCAAGCUGCUGCUUGAUAUGAACUGAAAGUUCUGAAUUUUCUCUCGUGUAUGUUCUGUGUAUCAAAUACUGAAUGGUGUGCAGGGUGAUCCUGCAUCCUGGAAGGCUUUGGAUGGCACGGUCUUGUGCAGAGAUCUCAUUGUUGUUGACCUGUUUCUUCAAAACUGCAUGUGCAUGAGCAAGAAUGGUGAUUGUUAUAGUACAUGAGCAAGGAAGAAGCUCUGGAUGCAGGGGAUGGAACAGAACAGAGACACGGACUCUGUCAACAGCGAUGCUCCCAAGCGAGCAGAGGCAGAGCAGCGAAGUUGCCACACGCCACCGCAUCUCCCUCCACUCCACUCCCACUCCCCCGCCACCGCCAUGGCCGCCGCCGCCGCAGCGCACUCCCUCCUGCACCCACCGGCGGCCCGCAAGGCCCCCACACCUUCUCCCUCUCCUUACCCUUCCCCAUUCCUCCGCCUCCCGGCCCCCGCGCACCCGCGCCUCCCGCUCCGCCUCCGCUCCACCUCCCCGGCCGCCGCCUCCUACCUCACCGACUUCCCCAACCCGAACGGCAUCCUCGCGCCCAUCGACGUGGACGCCGCCACGGAGGCGGAGCUUCGCGAGAACGGGUUCCGGAGCACGCGCCGCACCAAGCUCGUCUGCACCGUGGGCCCGGUCACCUCGUCGCCCGAGCAGCUCGAGGCGCUCGCCGUCGGCGGGAUGAACGUCGCCCGCCUAAACAUGUGCCACCGCCGCCGCCAUACCCCCUGUCACCCCUGCGUCGACCACUGCGCCAAACAAGUCAAGCUUCGCUGCCUUCGCCCCUGCGCCACCACGCUUCGACGAGCUAAGAACGAUGGUGCGUGCACAGGUCGAAGCCCUCUUCAAUGCUCAGGCCAUGGCGCUUCAGCACACAUUCCAGGCCAUGGCUGAUUCUCAGGUACGCUCAACCCAUUUGCUUAGCCCGGAUUCCUCUGUGCAACCUUCACCCCGCAAGGAUCUUGGAGCUUGCGGCGUCGACGAGUUUUUCACCAGGUCCUGCUCUCUGCUGGACGGACUGGAUGCUCCGCCGUGCCCGGCGGGGAAUCAAGCCUGGUCCGACACCCCGGUGCGCUUGGUGCCUCUGCACCGGGUCUUUGACAGGCUAGGGUCGGCUCUUCAAGGGCGCCCCUCGGUGCGGGAGGUCGAGCUCGCCCUGAACCAGCUGCAGCUUCCCGCUAACACUCCGGCUUCCGAUGACCUUCGCGCCGCCGCGUCCAAGUCUUCUCCGGCCGCCGGAUCUGCCCCAACGGAGCUGCUGAACCAGAGGCAGGGUGCUCCAGAGAAGACUGCCCAAUGGGCCAACUGCCAGGCCCCACGGACCAGCUGGGCCCUGGGACCUCCUGCGGCGGCGACCGCGCCGGGCGUUCACGGGGGGCCUCGGGUGAAGGCGGCCCCAUGGGCCGUUUCCCUGGGGCCUGCUCCUGUCUGGCCCAGCAACGGGGCUCCCGCUGGACCACCUGGGCCUGUGCGUACCGCGCCAGUCCUCACCACUGGGCCGGAGACGCCAGUGGGGAGCCCGGGGGCCGGCGCGCAGACAACCUCCAAUGGGCCCGCUGGAAACAACUUAGGCCGCAGCACUGAGUCUCACCUUUCCGUUUCCCAAACUCAUGACAUGCAGGUUGCCACUGUUGAAGCCAUGGAGGCCCAGCUGACUACUCAAAGUACUGUGGAGGAAACACACACUGUGACUGCAAGUGGGGCCGUUGAUGAUCUCUUCGCGGCCCCGGCUUCGCCGAUUCUACGCCAGCCCCCGCCACGUCGCCAAUGUCGACGCUUUGAUAUGACCGCGGUCCGACGGAGUGCAAGACUCGCCCUCAAGCCGUCGGUUCCCGCGCUGCAGCGUGCCCAGCACAACCUCUGGCGCAAGCUAGGGGUCUCCGACGACGAGCUACGCCCAAUAGAAGAUAUCCUACAGGACUACGUCAACUCUCACCAGUGGCCACUUCCAGAUCAUGUCAUCGCUGCGAUGACGGCACUAUUUGACCUGGACGAUGAGGGAGCGGAGCAGGUAACUGAAGCUUUGAUCCAGCAUGCAGGACAGGCGGUCCAAGACAUCCAGAACGAGCUCGCCACCCGUCAGGAAUGAGUCAUCAGGACUCCACUUGUUUUUGGAGACUUGUUAUCUCCAUGUAUCAGUACUCCCUACCGUACACCUUUUCUUUUAGCUACCCUAGCCCUGCUGGCUGCGACCUUCGGGCUAGGAGCUGCACUAAACUUCACGACUCGACCUCCUGGUCUUCUCGCGCGCGACUUCGCCCUGCUGGCUUCGACCUUUGGGCAAUCCAUAUGCACGAUCUGCACGAUCAGCGACCCUCCAGCACAUCUGUUGAUAGCGCCUGUCCCACCAAGAAUCGUCAUCUUAAGUGCGUCGACGUGCUCGCAUAUACCCUGAUCGGGGCCACCUUCACACACCAGCACUACGGAUAGUGUGCUACCAUCCCCUGUGCGAUAGAUCUUCCAAAUGCUCACAUCCAACUUCGACACCCUUAGUUGGAAUGUCCGCGGCCUCAAUGCCCCUGCGAGAUGCAUGCUUGUUCACGACACUCUAAAAGACACGCCUUGUCAAAUUGCGUGCCUUCAGGAAACCAAAUUAAGCCAGAUCGACGCUUCUCUGGCUGCCUUUUUAGGGGGUUAUCGACUGUCAAGCUUCGCUUUCAAACCGGCGCAAGGCACUAAGGGAGGAAUACUCAUCCUUUGGGAUUCUAACUUCAUCGAUCUGACGGAUAUCCAAAUUGGGAGCUACUCGCUUUCAGCAACAGUUUCACCGAAAAACUACGACACCGACUUCCGCCUUACGACAGUCUACGGCCCUUCCAGGACGAACCUAAAGCCAGCUUUCAUGCAGCAUAUGCGCAGUAUGAAGCCUGACAACGAUACCAAAUGGCUUAUUCUUGGCGAUUUCAACCUCAUAUACAAGACACAAGACAAAAACAAUAGACGCUUGAACCUCAGCCAAAUGCGCCGUUUCCGCAACACCCUCGCUUCUUGUGGUCUCAAGGAAAUUCACCUACAGAACCGCAAAUACACGUGGAGCAACGAACGCCGCCAGCCUACGAUGUCACGCCUCGACCGCUUCUUCUGUAAUGAAGCCUGGGAUCUCGCUUUCGAUGACCUGACCCUCCACGCCUUGUCCUCCUCCCACUCUGACCACUGCCCUCUGUUACUAGCACGUUUAUCCGGCCCACGCCAACCGCGGCCGUUUAAAUUUGAGAACUUCUGGACAAAGCUGCCCCACUUUCAAGACAUUGUAAAGCGAGCUUGGUGUUCACCAACACAUCAUACUGAGCCUUUCCACCGCCUAGGGCACAAAUUACAUCUAACGGCACGGGAGCUACGGAAAUGGAGCAACUCCAUAAUCUCGGACGCGAGACUGAAGCUACAGAUGGCCCAAGUGGUGAUCCUCCACCUCGAUUCGGCACAAGACGUCCGACCGCUUUCGGAGGCGGAAUUUGAUCUACGAGCUAAACUCAAAAAACGUGUCCUAGGCUGGGCCGUGAUUGAACGUGCUCGAAGGCGACAGGCAUCGCGCGUUAAAAACCUCCGAGAGGGCGAUGCCAACACGCGCUACUUCCACCUAAAGGCCAACGGGCGACGACGGAAAAAUUACAUCCAAAGACUGCGAUCCGAUUCUGGAUGGGCACUUACGCAUCAAGACAAACAAAAAGUCAUCCACGACCACUUCUGCAAUUUCAUGGCAGCACCGCAGCAACGUUCGCGGGAUCUACGGUGGGAAAUUUUGCCCAACUCCCAGGAAGACCUUUCGGACCUCGACCGGCCCUUUGACGAACUAGAAAUCUUCCACGCCAUCAAACAGCUUCCGCAUGAUCGGGCACCUGGCCCUGACGGAUUCACUGGUCUAUUUUUCAAGACAUGCUGGAACAUCAUUAAAGGUGACAUGAUGGCAGCGAUCGACGCCUUCUACAACAUCCGAUGCAACGACCUUAACCUGCUUAAUAAGGCUAACAUCGUCCUUAUACCCAAAAAGGAAGGUGCGGAGGCCAUCCAGGAUUUUCGACCAAUUAGCCUUAUCCAUGCGGUUGCAAAAAUUAUCACUAAAGUCCUGGCACUCCGUCUACGACCUCAUAUGAACGCCAUCAUCUCACCCUGCCAGAGCGCAUUCAUCAAGGGCCGUAGUAUCCACGACAACUUCCUCUAUGUCCGAAACACUGCCCGACGUUUACAUCAAAAAGCAGCACCGGCCCUGUUCAUGAAACUCGAUAUCUCAAAAGCCUUCGAUUCAGUACGAUGGGACUACCUCCUUGAACUACUUCAACAUAAAGGCUUCCCUGUUCGCUGGAACCAAUGGAUCACGGCCCUUCUUGCCACCUCGACAUCAAAAGUACUACUGAAUGGGGCGCCUUUGCCGCCGAUUCAUCACGGACGAGGUCUUCGACAGGGCGACCCUCUUUCUCCCCUCCUCUUUGUUCUAGCUAUCGACCCACUACAACACAUCAUCUCUCAAGCCACCCAGAGGGGUCUCCUUACUAAGCUAGGAGGACGCGCAGCACGGUUCACAACAUCCCUGUACGCUGAUGAUGCGGCGAUUUUCAUUAAGCCAACACGAAAAGACAUAACCAACUUGACGAACAUCCUGCAGCAAUUUGGCGAAGCCACAUGCCUACGUACAAACCUGCACAAAACACAGAUUGCACCCAUCAGUUGCAAUACCGUCGAUUUGGAUCACUUACUUCGCGAUAUGCCGGCAACAAGAACAACAUUCCCAAUACGCUAUCUGGGUAUCCCACUCACGACAAGGCGCCUAAGGAAAAUUGACUUCCAACCCCUCGUUGAUAAACUGGCCGGCAAGCUAUCAGCAUGGACGGGUCGUCAGCUAACCCAAGCUGGCAGAAUAACCCUCACAAAAUCGGUCCUCUCGGCACAACCGGUAUAUUUUCUCACAGCUAUCAAACCGAGUAAAGAGGUGCUCCAGGAUAUCGACAAAAUCCGGAAAAAAUUCCUAUGGGCAGGGGACCAGCAACUUACUGGAGGCAAAUGCAAAGUUAACUGGACGAAAACCUGCCUCCCUAAACAACAAGGGGGCCUGGGUAUCCCGGACCUUGAGACAUUCGCUCGAGCCCUCCGUCUCAGGUGGCUCUGGCACGAAUGGGUAUCCCCGGAAAAACCCUGGAACAACACGGGAACCCCUUGCGACGAAGCUGACAGGAAGUUGUUCGCGGCAUGCACCUCCAUCACUCUGGGAGACGGCAAGAAAACUAGCUUCUGGUCAUCCGGAUGGUUGCAGGGCCAACGCCCUAAGGACAUCGCCCCGCUCCUUUACGCCAUUUCGCGCCGAAAGAAUAGGAGCGUCCAUGAUGCUCUCAGUCGAAAUAACUGGUUACGCGACCUUGUGAUCGACCAUAACAUCACCGUUUCUCACCUAGCGUCGAUUGCACAGUUGUGGGAAAUGGUCAAUACUACGGAACUCAGAUCAGGGGAGGACGACACUAUCACCUGGAAGCUGACAAGCUCAGGACUAUAUACUACGGCCUCGGCAUAUAAAGCACAAUUCCUGGGUUGCACCGAAACACCACACGUUUCCUCCAUAUGGAAAUCUUGGGCACCACCAAAAUGCAAAUUCUUCGCGUGGUUAAUUACGCAGAACCGAAUCUGGUCCGCUGAUCGCCUAGCCAAGCGAGGCUGGCCGCACAACACUUCCUGCGUCCUAUGUCGUUCCGCUAUGGAGACUGGACACCACCUUUUAGCUGAGUGCCGAUACACACGGAGAAUCUGGAACCAAACGGCGACAUGGCUAGCGCAGCCUGCACUACGACCAAAUGAAUGGAGACCUUCAGCCAAUGCUAUCGAGUGGUGGACGGCUAUCACCACAACACCGGACUCGCCACGUAAAGCUCUACGCAGCCUCACCCUUUUAAUCAUGUGGGAAAUUUGGAAGGAAAGGAAUGCACGUACUUUCAAUCGGCAUGAAACAUCACCGUCAACCCUAAUGACGAAGAUCAAAGACGAGGCCUCCGCUUGGCUCUUGGCAGGGGCCAAAGACCUAGCGACUUUACUAUCUCGCGAGUAAUCACGUUUCGGCCUCUAGUGUUUUUUCUUCUUUUUUCCUUCCUUUUCGCUUUUCUAUCCCGAUCUGUCGGGACUCCAUCUGUUUUUUCCUACUAUAUCAAUGAAAUAGGCACCGUCUCGUGCCCGUUCGUUCAAAAAAAAAAACAUGUGCCACGGGGACCGGGAGGCGGGAGUGGCACCGGGGCGCCAUCCGGGCAGUCAGGAGGCUCAACGAGGAGAAGGGCUACGCCGUCGCCGUCAUGAUGGACACCGAGGGCAGCGAGAUCCACAUGGGGGACCUCGGCGGCGCCUCAUCGGCCAAGGCGGAGGUGAGGUGCUGUGCUUGUAUGUAAGCUGCUGUCCAGUUUUGGACUUGGCGUUGCAGUUUUCAGUUUUCAGAUUGAACGUAUUCCGUGAAAUGUGCUUGUGCAAUGUGGCAAUGUGGAUGAGAGGAACGGGUGGUGGCAGUGGCAGUGUCAGGCAUUGCCGUUUCAUACUUCUGCAAAACCUAGCGAGUCAGGAUUUCACCAAAAUGUUUUUUUUUCCAUCUUCGAAAUGGCUCAGUUGAUUUAGAUUUUCAGCUCAUGUUUGAAAUUGUUAUAGAAGGAAAAACAUUCAGAAUUUCAGAUUGUCAUCAAACACUGGAUUGUGAAAGUGGUAAUCAUUUUCAAGGCUUUCAAUCUUUCAAAAAAAAUUCAAGGCUUUCAGUAUCAGUGCAACUCAAAUAAAGUGCAUGGUAAACAUCACCAUGUUUUGGCUUUCUCUGCAUAUAAGACACGGUGCUGGAGUCGUUCGACCGCGCUGAGGUCCCAAUCCAACCGGUCAGGUUUUUUCAAGGUGUCGAGUUUGAGUGCUUACAUGCGUUGGCCCCAUUCCAACCGGGCGAGUCUUUAUUUUAUUUUCGUUUCUUUUCCUUUUUUUUGCCCAUGGCCUCCCAGGGCCGUAGUCUUGUAUUUUCUAUUAUAUCAAUAGAAACUCGCACUAUCUUGUGCGGUUCGUUCAAAAAAAAAAGUGAUAGGCAUUGAGCUUCUGAAGGUCGUUGUCUAGAUAUUAGGCCCAAGCCUCAAUGGCUUUUUUUCCCUGUUGCAAACCUUCCUGUAAGUAAAGGGCACACCCAGUGCGAAAGCUCCCACACAAGGUGGGGUUUGGGGAAGGGAAUUCCUAGAUAGCCUUACCCUUGCAAAAUUCUUUUAAAUUUUUGCAAAGAGGUUGGUUCGAACCCAGGACCUCCGGGCCACAAGUGGAGAGUUUUACCACUGCGCCAGGUCCGCCCUUCCAGCAGAAUCUCUUAUGCUAGGUUUAAUUUGAAUUAGCUUUAUUAGUAGAAUGCUUGGCCCAUUUAUUGGUAAAUGGUAAAAUUCAUAAAGAUUAUCCUCAUUCCCUUAAUCAAUUUUAGGUGUUUAACUUGCAGCAAAUUCGAACAAUGACAGACAUGCAGCAUAUUGUUAGUUCAUCUGUAAGACUUGGCUUGCUGGUUUAAUGCUUUGUUAAAGGUUUGAAGUUAAUGUGUCUACUGGUAGCUAUUGAAUCUCUUUAUAGUUUAUUUAUAUCUUUUUUCUUUAUUAGUAUAAAGCCAUGUAGAAGUUUUCAGAAUACUGAAAUUUCUAGUGUUCGUUUUGUGGAGUCUCUGCACCUACAUCCUUUUUUGCAACUGCAUUUCAGAUCCUUCAGUUAUAGCAUGAAUAAUUUUUUAAAAAAGAAAAUUCUAGGUAGAUUCUUGCCCGUAGUUAAUGGUAGUGUCCGAUGAUAGUUGUGUUUUAGAUAAUACAUUAAUAUUAGUAAUCCAAAGAAACUAAACUACUUCCAUGAUGCUAACUGUCAUCAGUGCUAGCUAGGGUCACUAUACCAAAAAGGAGAUUCUAUCACCAUUCGGCUGUUUAUCUUAAGUUUUUAACCAUACAGUUAGAAGUUUGAUUGUACACCUAUUCAAUAAUCCAAGGUUUUCUUGAGCCACGUUAUUUACCCAAUGACUUCCAUUUUUCUUGGUAUUAAAACCUUUCUGAAGUAAUUAACAAAUCAUGUCACAUUUGUUGGAUUCCACAGGAUGGAGAAGUCUGGACAUUUAGUGUUAGGUCAUUUGAAUUGCCUCUCCCAGAACGAACUAUUAAUGUGAAUUAUGACGGGUUUGCUGAAGGUAUGUAAGCUGACCUAUUUGUUGAUAUCUUUUUCUGUUAUUGUUCACUGCCAUAAUUUUGUCCUACACAGAUGUGAGAGUUGGUGAUGAGCUUCUUGUGGAUGGUGGAAUGGCUCGGUUUGAGGUGAUUGAGAAGUUGGGACCAGAUGUUAAGUGUCGCUGCACAGAUCCUGGUUUAUUGUUGCCACGUGUGAAUCUUACAUUCUGGCGUGAUGGCAGUAUUGUCCGUGAGAGGAAUGCUAUGCUUCCUACAAUUUCAUCAAAGGUAAAUGCACUAGCAUAAUAAAUUUCUUGCUGUAAUUACCAAAAGACCGCAAAACUUUGUUAAUCUAUGCCACCCCUUGGUACUAGUAUUGCAAUGGAUUUACAGCUUGUUUUUUGUUUUGUCAAUGCCAUGGUCAGUUCAAAACAACAUGUAUUAGUUCAAAGCCUUACAUUGUGCACUGAAACUCAUGUCUUGAUAGUUUUUAUCAGCUAUUUCUUAAGAAGGCUUCUACCACCUAGAGUUGUUUAACUGAAAAUUUAAUCUUCUAGUAGCAGAUACUAAUAUUAUAAGUUUAUAAUAAUGCUGCUCCUACCCCCGACGCAGCUUGCCGGAGGCCCUUGACGCAGCGCCGCCAUCCGCAAGCCCUAACGCCGCCGACGCGCCCCUCUCCUCGGUUGAUUUGGGAAGGCGCGGGACUGCGGCAGGGAGAUUGGGAAGCAGAGCUUCCUGUUCCUCGUCUGCUACUCUGCUUCAAUUGGGCACCGGGAAAAGCGAUGCUGCCGGGUGCUCGGGUUCUUGGAGAGGGGAUGGAAUGGAAUGAUGGAUCGAUGCGGGAUGCGUUGCUGUUGCUAGCGGCUUCUGAUUGGAGAGAGGAGAGAAGCUGGUUGCUUGUGUUACCGUGAACGUGAAGGAAAACAGAGUAGGGAGGAGAGCAAGCUGCUGGUGCAGGAGCAUCAUGGCUACGGCAAUGGCAGCGGUGCGGUUCGUUCCGUCAAAUCCCAGAUUUCGGCCACAUUUGAUUGAUGCCAUUUAAUUUGAUUCCUUAUUGGUCGCCAGCCACGCAUUCGAUUCAUGGACGCGCAGGCCCCGGUGGUGAUGCAAGCCACGGUGGUUCCUGCAUGACAAUAGGUUCUUGUUACAAGACAGUCAUCAGUCAUAUUGUGAAGAACUGAUGACAGUUUUGAACACAAAUAUAGGAUUUCAUCACGAUACACUAGAGGUUUACAAUCAUCAACUACUGCAGGGGAAAAAAAUGGAGCUAGUAUUUUUGAAAAAUGGCCCGAUGUUGAAUCUGUGAUAAUGCAACUUAUGUAGCAGAGCAACCAUGGUAACACAAAAAUGUGCCAAGAGACUGACCUGAUCUUCUUCAGCCUCUCUCCAGGUCAUCCCCGAGCUUCAUGUCAAGGGUGUUGGAAACAACCUGGGAGAACCUACCAUCCUUGUAAUCCUUCUUCAUGAUGAGGAAUCAGUCAGGGACCAUGAACUGGCGGGGGUUAGGAACCACAUUCUUGAGGCGCUCAAGCUCAUCUGGGGACACCUCACGAGCUCUGCACAAAAAUAUUAUUAUCAGAGCUGAACUUCAUGCAAUGGGGCAUUCUAGCUGUAACAUACAACAGCCUACUGGCCCAGUUUGUUAUUGUGGCACAUGGAAAAUUAGUGGGAAAGUGGUGCAAUGCACCCAUCUCAAAUCUCCACCUUCAAAAAACAUGAAUGCCAAAGACUUCUGCAUAGGCUGUCUUUACAUGGCUGAUGUUUUUUAAAACACGUUUUCCAAUGGGCUUCACUCUCAAGUAGAUUCAGAAAAGCUAAUUGAUGAUCGGCACCAAGCCACAGAUGACUGCCACUAAUGAACAGCAGUAGAUAAUUUCUGCCUUGUUGCCAAGAUAGGAAAACCAAACUGAUUGAACAUCUCGCCACAAUUUCUUAGAUUAACUGAGCCCAUCACCUACGGGAAUGGAAGGGGGGAAAAACCAAAAACUGUUACCAACAUUACAAUUUGUCAAAUAAUCUUCAUAUUCGAAUUCCCUUUACAAAAAUACCGCUUUGCCAGACCGGACCAGAAAGCAAACCAAACCUAAAUUCAGUAUAUUUAUACAUGUUGAAUCGUCUCUUGGUCAUGUUUUCUUCAUUGAAAAGAAGUAAUGAGAAGAAACAUUCUUCAAAAAUUACUGAUCAAAACCAUAUUUUCAGUGUGCUACGAUUCUACAGGGACUUCAGUACAAUGGAAACAUUGGUGCUACAACGAAAGAGCUUCUGAUAAAGUUAGGAGUGAUUUUAAUCCACUUGUCAAGUUGGAAACCAAGUGCAGUUAAAGCUACUUCACAAGGGCCUACUUACUCUUCCAAGCACAGCGAUUAAGUUGGUAGUUUAGUUGCGCCAAAAGAACACGUUACACAUAAGCCUAUAAAUCACACUACAGCUAAUCACUCACAGCGACCCUUACCGUCAGGAUCCAAAGGCCUCCACUACAAGAGCCAACGCCAAAAGCCAUUUAAAAACUCACCGUUGUUCAGGUCGAUCAGUCGAUGUCAGCCUUCUUGCAAACGAUGCUGGAGAAGCGGCGGCCGAUACCCCUUGAUGGAGGUGAGCGCGAACAUGAUCUUCCGUUUCCCUUCCACGUUGGUGUUGAGCAGACGCACACUGACGCAGGAUGUGCUGGAAGUCAUCCCCCGCGAUUAGCGACGGCAAAAUCAACCCCAGCUGCACGUCAGACGAAUUGCGCGCGAGGAUGUGAUAUCUCCACAUGGUCCGAUAAAACUAUAAACAUCAAAACCCAAAAUGAUGAAAAUUUAGCAAGAAAAUAAAGACCAGGAGCCAUGUUGAGUCGAUUGGUAAACAUAUUCACUGUGGUAAAAUGCACACUACAGAUAAAGGUCAAAUUAGUCCCUCCAUCCUAGAAUAUAGCUGCUUUAGCAAAUUUUGUUCUAGCAAAUUAGGCAGCAGCACUAGCCAACAAAGACGCAUGCACAUAUAGGCCCACAACGCGCGCCAGAGUCACCUGCUGUGUAGCGGGACAAGUUAAUAGAGGUCAAAUUAGUCUUUUAAUCUCUGUCUGACAUGAGUCCAAAACUAGCUACGUACUGUAUAUUACAAGAUGGACGGCAGAAGCACUAAGUGAAGUAGACUGGGGAACAUGGUAAAAUAGAUGAUCCCAAAGCAAUUUCUAAUAAUAAUGGACCCCCGAAGUUGAAGUUAUAAGAUAUUUAAGGAUACCACUGUUGAAGAGUAAAAGGGUGAAUCGAUACAUAUGAGGGGAAAAAAAGUUAACUACACCAAUUUUCUGGUACUAUACGACUACGAUCAUGAUAUCUUUAUCAUUUAAUGAAAAUAUAAUUACUUAAAUUUGCAGGAUAAAGUCUAUUUUCACUCACCAAAUGUAUUAGAUAAGUAAUUCUAAUUGCAUUAUGUCGAAGUUCAAUUCUAAAAAUAGAAUGAUACACACACUCUUAAAAAAAAUACAAAAUCCAAUUUUUAUAUGCUUAUUAAACAUGUACCUUAUAAAAUGCUAGGAAAAAAGAUAAAUCAUAGAAAAUAUUGCAAAAAUCAGAAAACAAGUGGACAUAAAUUCAGAGAACUUUACUAAACAUCACUAACAAUAAAAAUCAUUGCAUCUAUCCUAUUUUCUAUAAAAUUCCUUAUCUAUGCCAUGGUGAAGAUAAUCUAAAGUAACCAGUGAAUCUGAAUGUAGGUUAUUAGGCCCCUCUGCCAUCAUAAAAACUAUAAAUAACCCGUAAUCUUCAUCUAAAUGAUCUAUCUAAGUUUGCAAAUAAUGUGCCACUAUUAAAAAAAUAACUCCUAAAUUUGCAUCAAAAUUAUCUGCCUCUAUUAUUGAAAAAUACCCAACGUGCUAUUAUACGUAUGCUUCAAAAUUAUCCAAUUUAUCUUUGUUAAUAUAGAAAAACUAUGGUUUUAACUAAACAUGUCAGAAACAUAGCUCGAGUAGUGCAAAAACAAUGAACAUAUGAAAGGAAGAUAAUGUAGAGUAAUUGGUAACUAACACUAUUAGGGAAUGGAUCUUUCGUCCCGAGCCUCAGUACCAGUUGCAUUCCCACCCGGUACUAAUGUGAGCAUUAGUAACAAGCCUAACAGAUAGUCCCUGAAGAGGCCCCCAUGACCCCCUUUAGUCGGGUAGGGGCUCCACCCAGUACUAAAGGUUUCUCCCUCCGUUCGCGCGAGGACUUUUGCACCGGCGCCCUCGAAAGCCUUAAUUACCCAGCUCACCCUCCACCUCCCUUAUCCUCUUCAACCAGCUCCCUCCACCUCCCUCAGCUCCUUCUCUCCCUCCGCUCUCCACCAGCACCCUCUUCCUUCCUCCCCAGCCUCCCCUCUCCUCCCCCUUUGCUCGCCCCUCACCUCGUGCCUGACGUGAGGAGGGUAGGCGGUGAGGCGCGGCGGGGCGAGGAGCGGCGGAGGGCGAGCGGAGAGGCGGAGGCGGGGCGGCAGGCGGCGACGGCGGAGUAGGCGGAGAGGCGGAGGCGGCAGGCGGCGACAAUGGAGGAGGGCAGCAGGGGCGGCGGGAGCGGAGGAAGGCGAGCAGGCGGCGCCGCGGCGGAGAGCGAGCGGGUGGAGGAGGGCGGCGACAGGGCGAAGCAGGGCAGGCGGGCGGCGGAGCGGUGGGCAGGGCCGAGGGGAUUUUAUUAUUUUUAUUUUUUAAUACCGUUUAGUACCAGUUAUUUCAACCGGUACUAAAGGACCCCUUCUAGUAACUAAUUGUCAGUACCAGUUGGACAACCGUUAUUAGAGGGGGUUACCGACCGGUACUAAAACCACAUUCCCUAGUAGUGUAAACUCUAUCACAACCUGAUAAAGAUAUAAAAUGUAUAUAUGAGUAUUGUGUUAUAAUAUCGACAAAUGUCGGAGCAAAUACAUUGAAUUUUAAUUAGCUGUGGACGCAAAUUUAUCUAUAAUCCUUAUAAUAUUUAUAUUUCCUAAAAUUAUGUGUCCGUGCGAGAGCACGGGUUGAUGGACUAGUUAAGAUCCAAAUCGGUUUGAAAAUAUUUAUUAUUAUAUUUUACAAAUGUACCCCUAAAUUGAUCGCGAUCCAAAUCGAAGGGUGUUUUGAAAAUAAUCAUCCGUCAUGACCCAAACAGCUCCAAACAUACUGAUGUCCAACAGAAAAACAGCACCAAUUUCCAUGGAGACGCUGCAAGACUGCAAGGCCGAUCACUUGUACAGUUGUUGAGACGAUGACUGCUGGCCUAACCUCCUAGGGUCCCCUUCCAUUGUCUCCUUCGGCGUCAGCUUCUCCGACGCGACAUGGCGAGCAACGUGGACCGCACCUUGUUGCUGGUCAUGGCCAGGGGCCCGGCGACCUGGUGAUGGCGCUCGCCGACAUGCUGCAUUCCGUCCAGGUGACGAGCGUACCCGGGAGGGGCCAGUAUCUCCGUGUCAUGCGAUCACUGUCUGGGAUGCGACACGGCCUUGAUUGAUCGCCAACACCUUAUCGAUGAGACUGAGGGGUGGUUCAUUGUACCGAAAUAUUCGCUUUUACGCCGUUCUUCCGUCCCAAAAUAAAUUGGAGUUAUCAUUAUAAAAAUAUACUUUAUAAUGGAUCUAUCCGAUGAUACUAAUUUGAUGUUAUAAAUAUAGGCACUAUUUAGACUAAGAUAACUUUAUUCAGGAUAAGACUAGAAAUAAACUUAUUUUUGGGACGGAGGCGCGGCGAAGACGAGACAAGUGUAGGAAUAGUUUGCGACAUCCAACCUACUGUAAAUAAGAACUGUAAAUAAGAACAGCGGUGUUCUUAUCCGUCUUGCUUAAAUUAAUUUAAGCCUAUUGCUAUGGUAAAUGUAUGCCAGGAAAAAAAUAUAGGUGUGCCGAAUUAUUGAGAGAAAGAUCAAAAGUAAAAAAUUGCAUGACAUGUGCACUAAUUCACACCACAUUCACAUAUUGCAAUUGUGCAUAUUAUAGCCAAAAAGUAGGAGUAAUUCUUUGAGUCUACAUAAAAAGUCACUAUCACUAGUAGAGAACUCGGUAUUAGUCCCGGUUGGUAGAGUGCAAAUCUCCCGAAAAUCUAUUCGGGAUAAACUAAUCGAGACAAAAGGGGGGGCUUUUGUCCCGGGUCACUCAACCGGGACUAAAGACCCCCUUUUAUCCCGGUUGGUAAUACAUUACCAACCGGAAUAAAAAGAGUCACCACGGCGGGCGCUACAAAAAAAUCCUCCCUCCCCCCCCCCCCCACACACGCGCGUCACAAGUCACAUGAUUUUUCACGCGAAAUAUGGGCGUGCGCGCUGCGUGGGAUUCGAACCCAUGACUCCAGCCUCGCGCGUAGCUUCCUUGCCAUCCCACCUACACAUCACAUCUAACUGUAUAGGGGAUGCAAUCUUUUUGUAUUAACUCGUGGGGAUUCUUUUAUCCCGGUUGGAAACACCAACCGGGAUAAAAGGGGGGUCUUAGGGUAUUUUUUUUCCACUAACCUUUGCAACCGGGAUAAAAGGUCCCGGUUGGUGAGCCUCCCGCCAGUGAUUGAGCUUUAGUCUCGGUUGGUGAAAUUUUUGCCCCGGACCAACUUUAAAUCGGGAUAAAAGGGGGCGUAUAGAAGGUGAGUUCUCUAAUUAGUGUAUUGUGCUCCACUGCCGGAGAAAUGUGGUUAGAUUGCAAAAGCUUUUAAUCAAGCACGACAAUAUCGAUCUUGGGGCAGUGCUGGCACCUCACCCUCGGCCAACUCCUGCUGCUGUCAGAGUCGCCCCUGUGCACUCUAGAGGCUUUCUCCGUGGCCGCAACCUUGCCCCGUGCCAGGUUGCUCUCACUUGCUCUUGCUCUACGAGCCUCUCAGCUGCUUGCCUACUCCGGCUCCGCAAAUUCGAGUUGUCGAUCGGUGACGCUCCUGCUCCACGCGCUCGCGCGCCAACGUCGGCGGAUGGGUCGUUCAUUUUCUUUUUAGAGGGUACAUCGAGGGCGCCACGACCCACACACUCACACCUACCACUAAACGCGCAUGCGUGUGUACCUUGGACCUAGACCGGGAUCUCCCGACGGUAACGAGAAAAAUUAAUCCCCGGUACCAAGCGUCGAUCCUUGGGAUCGAACUCGUGCCUGGCCGCUCGCGCACCUAGCGAGCGGACCAACCGAGCAACAUUUGGUAUCCGUUCUUUUGAUUGAUUCUGAUUUGGGUCGUUCACUGGAGCCUUCUUUUCUGGGCUGCUGUUGGCCCGGCAACAUGAGGACCCAUAUUCAUGCUUCAUCUCCGCUCGCUCGUUCUCAUCUUCCAGACUCCAGCCAUGGCGAUCGAUGCCAGGCAAGGCAGAAAUUGGGUGCAGCCCGGAUGCGAAACACGCAUCCGGUGCAUACCCACUGCCCCCGCGCGACGCGUGGAAGAAAACUCCAUCCGACGGACGGCGCUAGCCCCGGCGCCCAAACACGCGUACGUCCUCGGCUCGGCUCCCUCCCAGCGCUGGCGUCCAAGCAAGACGGCUCGCUCGGAUCCCAGGAGGCCAGGAGACGGAGGAGUUUGUUGGAGUUGUUCCAAAUUCACUCCAGGAAAUAGGCCGACCUUCCCGACCCUUGAUACUCAGGGUCGGGCGAGGCGGAGGAUCUCCCGACCCCGGGACUCGGGGCCGGGCGAGGCGGAGCGUCUUCCGACCCCUGGACUUUGGGGUCGGGCGAGUCGGAGCAUCUCCCGACCCCAGGACUCGGGGUCGGGCGAGUCGGAGAUAGACCCUCAAGGGGUCAGGCGCAUCCGACCCCAAGCUGGAGGUCGGACGAGGCGAAGUCUCAGGCGCACCCGACUCCUGGACGAGGACGACUCAAGGUCGGACGAGGAGGUUUCCAUCCUCGCACGGGACCAAGAGUCCGUACCGCUCAAUACCCCCUGUUGGGGUGUCGGUACUAUAUAUACUAGCACCCUUGCUAGGGUUUUGUACCGAGAGUCAGAAGAGAAAAAAGAGAGACAGAGAGAUUCUCUUGUAAGCCGCCAUAGGCGUGUAACCCCAAACUCUUGAUAUAGUGAGAUUGUUGCCGGCUGGUGCCCGUGGUUUUUCCUCUUCACAUUGAAGGGGUUUUCCACGUAAAUCGUAUGUCUUCUUGCGGUUUGAUUCUUUACUUCAUAUUCCAUACGCCGUUCGUUCCUAACAGGACGCGCACCGGAUUGGCCGCCGCCGCGGAGGGGACGACGACUCAGCUUCCCGGUGCUCCGCGGCCGAGCUCCGUCGGCGCCGCGCUGCCCUUCCCGGCCUCCGCCAUGGUUGGGCCGACCGCCGCCGCUAGGUCCAUCUGCCGUGGCCGGAGCGAAUGCCGCCGCCGGAUUCUUGUGUAUCUGCAACCAGAUCAUUGGUCCUUCAACUGAACUGUCAUUCAUAUCAUCCCCUCAUCGCAACAGAUCAUCUCACUCUAUCAAAGCUGCAGCGUCAUAAGAGAAGUCUGCUAUCACAUUCAGAACUUCGCACACUGUUCUUUUUUAUAAAAAAAAAACGAACCGGGCAAAAGUCCGCACACUGUUCUUGAACAAGUGAAAUGCACAAUAACGAAAAAUCAGUCGUAUAUCGAUAACUACUAUUUUUACGAGUCGCUGUUUGUGCAACAUCAUAACUAGCACGAGUAAAAAAGGUUAAUGAGGAAAGGGCAGGUCAUAAAGCGUAUCUAGCUACAAGAAAGCAGGGAGCAUUCCUUAGAGCUAAAGGCCAUUCAGUUUUCAGGCUCACCUGCCUGGCGGUGCUCCCUUUCUGCCCUGCCUCUGCAUGUGGACUCAGGACAUGGGUCACAGUCAUAGUGAGCCCACUAUUAAGUGCACAUGAAAGUGAUCAGUACUUGAUGACUUUUGUGCUGCUCUUCUUUCACUUGAAAAUGGCCUGGGAGCAUAAUAAUCAUGCGUGCAUCCUCCAUGAUAUCCCUACCAAAUCAUCAUCCUACCUUUUUUUUUGGUUGCCGCCUUUUGUAUAUAUGGUUAGUGUAAUAAUUUCCCAACCAAUCAUCACCUUGUGCACUUACUUCUUGUAGGGCUUGAAAAUAGGAUAGGCAUUCUUCAACCACUGAGGCGAAAUAACCACUAAACUUCAGCACACAACUGGAACAGUUUGGUCUCACAGCAACUAAACUUCUCAUCGGCUCUGAAGGUUGGCAUUUCCUUCCAAGACUAGAUCACUUAAACUUAAGGCUAAGUGAACAAACAGAUUAAAUUCCCUUGUUUGUUUCACACAGAUUAGUUAAACUGAACUAAAUCUUGCCAAAUCUUGCUGACAACAGCAUUUCUGGUGAGAGGAUAUAUGGUAUGGCCUCAUCUCUUCCUUUUAGUCCUCGGAAGUGAUUGAGCAGUAGCUGAUGUGAGCUUCUCAAGGUGUUUGUUGUUUAGCUAGCUAGGGACUAUAUGCAUGGGUCUUUUGAUUGCUACGCACAUAAACUGCAUGACGAGGUUCUGCACAACAUCACGGUUUCUGAAUGUGCCUUUUUCUCCUAGAUCCUAAGGAAACUAGUGCUUAGAACACUUGAACUGCAUUCAUGCGUGUCAAAAUGUAAAAUUUCUGAUGGAAGCUUCUUUUCUUCUGCAUUGGCAAGCCAAAAUUAACAUAAAAAUGUUGAAUUAUUCUGAAAAUCUGAACACAAAUGGCAGCAAAUUAUUCUAAAAAAGAACAGCAUAUUAAAUUAGAAAGAGAAAUGGUGCUUACUUUCCGAAUUGAUUGGUGACUCUAGUGCUUUAACAAGAGAUUUACAUGGAAAAAAAUUGGAUGGACCCUGGGCUCAUUGCGUCCACCAUGAGCUCCCUCCCUGGAUGAAGGACGCGUGGAGACGCGCUGCAUCAGACGGUCCUGGAAUCGAGCGUGGCCGUCCGUGGAGUUAGCGGCUCGUUCAGCAUCGAGGACGUCCCGGCUUGGCUUCUCUUUCCGUCGGCUUGGCUUCUCUUUCCAUCGGGGAAGAGUCCACGUUUGUCCACAUCGCGACUCUCUCCUACGAUGCCGCCGCCGCCUCGCGUGCGACCUGCGUCGCCGUCCGACCUGGCCGUGCCUCUUCCCCGAGCGCCAUGGCCGCCAUCUGGAUCUAGCCACGCCCGGUGUUGGCUACGCCGUGGCCGCGCCUCUUCCCCGAGCACCCUUGCUGUGUACCGGCAGCCGUGCCCGGCGCCGCCUAUGCCGUCGAUUCGCCCGCUGCCUAUGCCGUCGAUUCGCCGCCGCCUGGACCUUAUACCCGGGUGCCCUCCGCGACAGUCUGCUGGCCUACGUCGUCGCCGUCCGAUGCCGUGCUUUUGCCAGGUACGUGGCAUUGGGAAUUUAGUCUGAAUGUAGAUCUGAAUUUUUUCCAGAACUGAAGAAAAAUUGGGUCUGAAAUUUGUCUUUGAUUCAUGUUUUGCAGUAACUAGAAGAUGAGAUGCCGUACUCCUUUGAAUAUACGAUUUGUAGCAACUCUGAAUGUGCUGCAGUAUGACUGUUAUUAGUUUUUUGCUGGAACAAUAUGAUGAUGUGUAAUGUCCCUGUUUGAUCCGGAUUUCCCAAAUGAUUUUUCCAUGAAUCAUGACUGUUUUACAGAAUUACAGUGAAGGGAAAAUACAGUGAAGGCGUGAAGCAUGGCUCCCUUCAAAAAUGCUGCAGUAUGGCUGCCCAGCAUCACUACAAGAUGUUUCUGGCCUUCUGGGGGAGCAUCAGUAGACUACAUGGGUUUAUGGCUUAUUUCGGCAAGAAGCAAGGCAUCCGGAAGAUAGGAUGGUGAACAAGAUUUUUUGAUAGGAAAGAGUUGAAUCCGUGUAAACAAUUGUAUCAGUUUAGAGUUGAUCUUUUUUUUGAGACAAUAGCAGUUUGACAGGAACUAUGAACAAUUUGGUGCCUUUCAUUUAUGCUGUUGAAGGAUGUAUCAGUAAAGAGUUCAUUGAUACUUGUAAAAUGUGAUUUUUAUCUGAAAUAUAUUUGGAUGUUUUGAAAUCAGCAGUGGAAUGGAUGUCUUAAGAAUCUCAUUGUUUCUCUGAAUGCAUUGUUCUAAAAAGCUCCUAUUCAGAGCAAAAGAGACUUUCUAACAGCAAAGCAACAAAGUUACAUAGAUUUAAAGGAGACCAAAAGAGACUUUCUAACAGCAAAGCAACAAUGUUACAUAGAUUCAUUUUUCUUCCACUCCAUCAAAAUGUAACUUUCUGACAGCAGUUUGCAGUGUAGCAUCUUGAUCAACUCCCAUUAAGAGAUUUGUGUAUCCUCCUGAUAUGUAUGGAGCAACCAUUGUAGAAGGAUCAACAAGUAAAUUGAAUUGUGGCAUUGUGGAGAUAGCGUAUCCAGCUUGCACAAAAGGAGCAUCCAUGGCUGAAGAUGGCCCAACAUUAAAAUCCUGUCAUAGAAUAAGAAAGAGUUCAAAAAUCAUGUUUGUAAGGGAAAUUUUUGGAAAAUAGGUAAAUGUCUUACAGUUAAUUGGUUUGUUUCAGCAUGUUCAUCUCUUGUUUGGACAUCAUCAUUUCCCUGAUCUUCACCUACAAUGAAUAUAUAUAUAUGAUAAUACAAUAUUUAAAACAUUAUAGACAUAAGCAAAAGGUAGUGGCCAGGUGAGUACCUUUUUUCUGACCACCCUUCUUCUUCUUUUUUCCUGACUUCUUUUCAACAACAUUUUUGAAACGUGUAUUCUUUGGUCCUUUUAUUACUUCAGGAAUUCUAAAUGAUAUCACACCAUUUAUUGGUUGCUGGACACUUUCAUUUGGAAUUGGAGGAACCUCGUUGGAUUUUUCAUGCAUCUCACUUAGAUAAGUAUCCGCUUCCAGGUUCAAGUUAUGUAUGGCUUUCUGCAAUUUAUCAAGCAGUUCUUGUGAUGGCGAACACUUCAGUGCAAGAGAUGUGGCCUGUCGAGAUAUAAGUGCUGCCUGUGUCUUCAAAUCUCCUUUCUCAGUUCUUUUUUUCUCAAUAUAAAAUCCAGUUUUCGCGUAUUUUGUCCAUCUAGGCAAUAUAUAUUGCGAUGGCAAAUUGUAUACUCUAUUUGUAUUGAAGACUCUGAGAGCAUGCUUGCACAAUAGACCUGUAAGAUAUAGUUGCCAAUUACUACAUAUAUUACAUACAGCUUACAGUGUAUAAAUCUAAAUGUAAAUAGUACACAUACCUAUGGAUUCAAACAUCCGACAAGAGCAUGUAAUGGUGGAAUCUUCAGUGUUCAAUACUACCGUUGCUCCAUGGUCAGACUCCAUAUAUUUAACAAAGAAUGUCAAGUUUGUCCUCACAGCUUCCAACAAAUCACAAGUCAAUGUAAAUUGUCUCUUAAAUUCUUCCUCAAACUCCGAAUACAUUCGCCUUGUAUAUGAUUCAGCUGCAGUAUUCAACAUUGGUAGACUUGGAAUAUAUGGAAUCGGAUUCUUUCGGCGUGACUGAAAAUCAGCUUCCAACUCAUUUGCUUGGAGACUAACUGCAACCUUCUCACAUUCUACAAGGAGUUCCGAAAGACCAAGUCUCCUACGAAAUUGUUUCUUGAAAACAUUAUUCAUACCUUCACUCCUCUGGGUUGAGUUCAUGUCUGCUGUAAAAGAGUCACGAUAUAUUGCAGCCCAUUUUGUCCUCAAAGCAUAUAGGUUUGCCAUCCAAGAGUUAUUCUCAAGAUUGUAUUUAGCCAAUAGUUCUUGCCAUUUCUCUAAGAAAUAAGUCUCUGACCUGUUUUCGUAAACACAAUUUUUAAAAUCUGUUAGUAACUUGUUACCUUUCUUAUCCGCCUCAUGAAUUUCAUGACUAAGAUGUUUAGCGGCAUUUAAGCAAAUGUGCCACAAACAAAGACGGUGGCUUGUAUUUGGAAAUACAUAAGCAAUUGCUCCUGCCAUAGCCACGUCUUGAUCUGUAAAAAUUGUGCUGGGGUGCUGUCCUGACAUUGCUGUUAGAAAGGUUUCAAAGAGCCAAACAAAUGAUUCAAUAGUUUCAUUAAAGAGAAGUGCACACCCAAAAAUUAUUGUUUGCUUGUGAUGGUUGCAGCCAAGAAUCGGAGCAAAAGGCAUUUCAAACUUAUUAGUUUUAAAUGUGGUGUCAAAUGACACAGCAUCGCCAAAGCAUUUGUAAUCCAUGAUAGACUGACCAUCUGCCCAAAAGAAAUUUGCUAUGCGACCAUCUUCCUUGUCUACCUGAAAUGCAUAAAAAAAUGUAGGAUCCUCUAACUGUUUAUUUCUCAGAUAUUCAGAUAGUGUUUGUGCAUCAUUGGCUUCUAAGUACUGCCUGCGCUCGCGACCAAUCUCAUUAUCACAAUCCAUCUUAGCAAAUGGUAUGUUCUCUUCUCCUCCAUAAAACUACUUCAUGAACUCAUAAACUUGGGCUGGCUUCAUUCCAGCUUCUCGUAUCUGCCCAAUUAAUUUUCUAUCUGCCUCUAUAACCUGUCUUUGGGACCUCAACUUGUGUGCCUUAUUUGGGCUAGCAAGAUAGUGAUUGUGCUGUUCUAUGACCUUUUGUACCUUCCAAAUCCCCUCUUUGCUGAUACUAAACUGGACACGAGCAUCACAACCUGUCCUUGUUAUGUCCUUUUGCGAUGCCUCAUUUUCUCGAUGUCCUUGAUUACUGCAAACUAUAAAUUUCUGACAUAGACUUCCAUCUCGGCGGUGCUUUGUCUUGCUCUUUCUAAUACUAAACCCAACCUUGCCGGCAUAGGUGUUGUACAUCUCAUAAGCUUGAUCCUCAAAUUCAAAUGUCAUUCCAACUGUAGGAGUGAUGAAAUUUUGCCCACCUUUACGAACCACCUCCUGUACAUAUGAAUUUUCAAUUAAAGGCGUGCCAAAAAUAAAACAAAAUGUCACAUAUUCUGUAAGUUUGUUAAAUAUUUUUUUACCUCAUCAGGUACUUCAUUCUCUAUGGAUCCAGACGUCUGUAAAAUGGUGCCGAUGUUCUCUACUCCCCUGGUAACCAUGUUGUUCUGUCAAAUAUGGGCAAUAUAUCUCAGAUACCAAACAACAUAGAAGAAAAAACAUUUGUCAAAAAAAAAUGCAGAACGAUCUAAGCAGAUAACUAACCUGUGUUAUCUGUUCGUCUUCUCGACCACCAUCACCAACGGCAUCAAAUUCUAGUGCACGUGAAUCCUCCAAGAGAGAAGAAAAUGUCAUCCGAUCAACAGUUAUCAUUCCAUCUUCUUGGCCUCUAAUGUCUUCCAUGCAGGCCACUGGUUCAUCCAUGGAAGCAACAAUGGAGGAGUGCAAUUGGGCUGGUUCAUCCAUGGAAGCAGUAGUGGAGGCGUGCAAUUGGUCUAGGGCUACUGGCGGCGGCAAACUUAGGGAAGAUGAAACGAACGAGUUUGACGGUCUGACUCUCCGAUGGAAAGAGAAGCCAAGCCGACGGAAAGAGAAGCCAAGCCGGAACGUCCUCGAUGCUGAACGAGCCGCUAACUCCACGGACGGCCACGCUCGAUUCCAGGACCGUGUGAUGCAGCGCGUCUCCACGCGUCCUUCAUCCAGGGAGGGAGCUCAUGGUGGACGCAAUGAGCCCAGGGUCCAUCCAAUUUUUUUCCAUUUAUGGAUAAUUUUGGAUAGGUUUUUCUUACUAGGCAUGACGCCAAGGACGGCAAGAUCAGAAGUUCCUAAGCUCGGGAUAGAUUAACAAAGUAGAUAGAGCUGUUGAUGAAGUAAAAAUACUCAAAGGAACAAGAGACAGACUAACCCCACCCAAAACAGUUCAGCUGUACCGCGUUGCAAUGUCCAGUUUAGUGGUGUCCAAAAUAUUUAAAGGUUUCAUUCAAAAAUAGAGCAAAAAAAACUUUCACUGUGACGAAGGCCUGCGUAAGCCUGCCUAUGAUUCAUGUUAAUCUAAUUUACAAAGAUGAGAUCAUAGAAUGUGCCAAAAACUUUUGGUAAUCAAAUUGUGCAUACACCAAUGCUGAUCCCUAUUGGGUCCAUUAAACCAGACUUAGUCAACUUUGUGGCUAAAACAAUACAAUACAAUAUAUAUCAAAUCUCAUCUGCAGAGUGUAGACGAUCACCGGUAUUGAAUCCUGAAAGAUAUAAACUGAACUAUGGAUAGAAUAUAUUUGAAGGACACGGAUGGAAAGAGACAUACAACAUUCACCACAAGUUCGUCUCACAAAGAAAAAUGAUUAAAUCUGAAAAAAAAUAGAGAAGUUACAUUGAUUUUUUUUGUUUGUCAAUGUGAUUGGGAAAAUUAGACUGUGCAAAAGCUUGUUGAGGACAUUUGUGUUUUUAAAUCAACUAAUUGAUUUAGCGUAUCCAUCAUUCCAUCAAAUAAUAAUUAAGCACGUCAUCAAGCCAGUUGCUCAUAUUAAAUCAUCGUGCCUUUGGCUUAUCCAUUCCGAUCAGAUCAUGCAGUCAGAUGAAAACGAAAUGGCAUGGGAGGUGGUGUUCUAGAGAGCAAUAAUUUGGCUUCUUGCUUGGGACAUCUUCCUGUUGGGAAACGGGUACGCUAACUAUAACAAUUAUGUCUCCCGCGUUUGAUCUAGGAAACUGAGUAGAGGGGGUCAUGGAUCGUUAUCACUAGAAGCGCAGUGUAAGAAGAAUUGGAGCAGCCGAUCCAACGUAGAUGCCCAUCAGUGUAGAAGAAGUACUUGAUUAAGAUUGCCUCGUCCUCAUCCUCGUCCUCGUCCCAGCAGCAACCUCGCACUGCCGUAGCCGAUCAGCACAGCAGCAGCACCUCCACGGAGUCCAAACGUAUGGGAGAGAAACGUCAUGCGCCGGUGUGCUAGCACCGCGCGCCCGGCCAGGGUCUCGGGAUCAGGCUGAGAGGAGGUGGCGGCUAGAGCUGUGGUGUAGUGGAAUGGUGCGCCCCUACCCCACCCCUCAUAUUUAUAGAGUACACUAAUGGGCUGGUAAGCUGUAAGCCCAUUAGUGCCAUAAUCCCUCACGAUCAAUUAUGUCGUGGAUCGUUAUGAUUGUCUCUUAGGUACAUCACCAACACUUUCAUGCGACCGUACCGAGAGCAGAGGUUCUUGAGUCUGUACUAAGAUAGAGAAAUGGGUGCCAUAAAUUACUCUAAUUUCGAAGUAGGCUAAUUUUAGACGCGAAUAUUACUUCAUCCGCCAAAUUUCUAUGGUAAUAUGUUGUUUCAAAUCACAAAAGUUAUAUACUAUGAAUGGAUUUUUUCAUCAUGCAUAGGAUCUCUCUCUCAACCACAACAACCACGCGAUGACACCAUCCUCUCCGCGAUCGCGCCUUGCCACAAGCCUUACCGUGCUUGCUCCACCCGAGUUCGCCGGUCUUGCCGCAGCAGCCGCGACCUUGCACCCCUCCUGUGCACGAGCCGUGUUGCACCAUGGGCAUGCAUCACCGACACCCUUUGCUCGCCAUGUCGUGAUGCCGCCCCUUGCAUCGCCCGAUCGCACCACCUCCACCACGGUGCUCCCGGCCGCACUCCGAUCGACCUGGCCACUGGCCAAGUCUGGCUUUUGCCGGUCUAGACCGCGAGCCAAAGCUGACACCCCAACCCGACAUCGUCUUCACCGGCCACUAUGUUGGCCCAACCACCACGUCUAGCCAAUCCUCACCAACUGCAGCCCAUCAGACGGGCUACUGGUCGAAUCGCAGACCACCGCCGUGCUCCACCUUGCACCACACUGAGCAACUUCCCAACGCCCGUGAGGCAUAAACCUCGCGUCUCCACCUUUCCCCGUGCCUCCUCAUGAUCCAAAACCAACCGUACAACCCUUAUACCAAUUGUUGUGAUAUCGGCACACAAGCGGAAGGGCCGGCCCUGGCGGGCGGCGGGGGGCGGCCGCCCUGGGCCCCAAAUCCCAGGGGGCCACCCUAGGUUCAAGUGUCAAAUGAGUUAGGAAUUAGGAUUAGGACCGGAAUAGCAACGAACGCUGAACGCAGUCACGCAACUCGUACACGUCGUGUAGGGGGUCGCUGCUAGGCAAAACUCAUAUGCGUCGUCUUAGGGGGCUGCUGCGGGGGCCAGCGCCAAAACAUGUACGCGUCGUCCAGGGAGUCGCCAGGGGAUCGCCGCCAGCAAGGGCCGCCGCCAGGGAUCAUAAGGAUUAUCCAAAUCGCAAUUAAAACUCCGAUCGCCGGCAGGGCCACCGCUGCGUCGCGCGCAUCAACGACUGGUUGUUGGACUGCGUCUGCACCAUCAUCCAGGUACGGUACUCAUCGCUGUAUACACGCGCGUGCACAACCCGGCAGCUCGGCGAUUGCUGUUCUUGACCACUCUGCGGCGACCAAUCGGCUUGUUGCUUGCGGACCUUACGGUUGGUGCCAAUUCGCUUUUUGUGACCAGGUGAUUCGAUUGCUAAUUCCUCAAUUCUCCGUACCAUUAAUUAUUAAUUUAUUAUCACAAGUUAUUUAAUCUCAACUAAUUUAUAACUAUUGUGUAUUUAUAAUAAUUUUAGUACUGUAACAUUUGAUAGGUAUAAAUAUCAAGAAAUGUUAGAAGAAACUUUUAAGGUAAUAUGUAUAAAUAAUUUGAUAUGAAUAUUGCUUUUAGAUACAUUUAAAUAUUUAUUGGUAACAUUUUAUAUAUACUUGUUAUAAUGUUUAUAUUAAAGGCUCCAAGUUUUACUUUCGCCCCGGGCCUCCCAAAUCUCAGGAUCGGCCUUGAGCGGAAGCAAUUUGGUUUCAGAUCGAUGGAGGCGGGGAACUUGAGAGAGCAACGACCACACAGGAGGCACGAGAUUUGGUAACGGAGUUCGGCCGAAAUCUACAUCUCCGGGGCAUGCUUAUGGGCGCUCCUCCCUGACCACAGCGACACCAGCCAUCCCGGGCACCAACCAAGCCGGACGGCACCCCCUACGACCCGACCCUGUCUCUCAGUGCUUCUCUUUCUUGUGGUGGUUUGGUUACAAUGGUGGUCCUCUCCUUUUAUAGAGAAGCCGGUACACAUCUACCACUAAACUCUACCCUCUACUAUACCACUAGUUACAACAUCAAGUCCAUGUAACCCCUUUAGUGUAAAUAAAUAUUCGACACAUUUACAACACAAACCAUCCUGUAAGUGUUGCUUCUAGCACCUGGGAAAUAAACACAAGAAUACCUUAUCUAUCUGUGACAUUUGUUACAGAUUUCAUUUCAGCAGCAGAAUCUUUUGCUCUAGGUUUAAUUAGAAGUAACUUAAACAGUAGACUGCUUGGCCCAUUUAUUGGUAAGUGAUAAUUCAGAAGAUUAAACCUAUGCCAUCCUCACUCCCUUAAUCAAUUUUAGGCGUUUAUGUUUUAACUUGCAGCGAAUUCUAACAAUGACAAAUAUGCAGCAUAUUGUUAGUUUAUCUGUAAGACUUGGCUUGCUAGUUUAAUGCUUUUCAAGGUUUGAAGUUAUUAAUGUGCCUACUGGUAGCUAUUGAAUUUCUUUGUAUACUUUUUGUUCUGUCUUAGUGUUAAGCCAUGAGAAAGUUUUCAGAAUACUGAUUUUUUUUCUAAUGCUCAUUUUGUGGAGUCUCUCCAUCUACAACCUUUUAUUGAUACUGCGUUUCAGAUCCUUAAGUUAUAGCAUGGAUAAAUCCAUGUUUCUUUUUCUUAAAAAAUCAUGGGUAUGGGUAGAGAUUCUUGCCCGUAGUUAAUCCUGGGUAUGACACAAAUAUAGGAGCUAUUAAUGUGUGGAUUUGUCCUGGAUCUAUUCUUGUGAGAGUAUGGUCAGUUUUCCAAUGAUCUUAUGAGAGCAUGCUUGUACAGAAAGUGAGCUUGGUGUUUAAGAAUUCUUAAAUUAUUUGUGCUCAUUGUUUAUAUUUCUUUCUGUUCAAAUCAAAGAAAAUGGUCUCACACCCGACUACAUUAAUGUGUGUCAGUACGCAGCGGUUAAGCGGGUGCUCCAGCUGGAAGCGGCCCACUUCAUUAAUGUCCGUCAGGGAGCCACGUGCAAAGCUGGGUGCCACAAAUACAUGUUGAAUAAUUGUAUGGUAGCUACAAAUUCAUACCACGUGCAAAGCUGGGUGCCACAAAUUAUUGUCUGCCUUCACUCAAUCCAUACCAAGCACCUUUGUUUCCCUGCGUUGUGUUGUGAGCUCCAGGCGUUGCCAUGGCUGAGGUACUGGCCACCAUGGUGGUCGGGCCACUGCUGUCCAUGGUGAAGGAGAAGGCCUCCAGCUACCUCCUGGACCAGUACCAGGUGAUGGAGGGCAUGGAGGAGCAGCACAAGCUCCUGAAGCGCAAGCUGCCGGCCAUCCUCGAUGUCAUCGCCGAUGCCGAGCAGCAGGCGGCGAAACAGAGAGAAGGGGCCAAAGCUUGGCUGGAGGAGGUCCGGACGGUGGCCUACAAGGCGAAUGAUGUCCUCGACGAGUUCAAGUACGAGGCGCUUCGCCGCAAAGCCAAGGCGGAGGGUCACUACAAGGCGCUCGGCAUGGAUGUAAUAAAGCUCUUCCCAUCUCACAACCGUUUUGUGUUCCGUUAUAAGAUGGCAAAAAGGCUCUGCAUGAUCUUGCAAGAAAUUGAUGUCCUCAUCGUAGAGAUGAAUACAUUCAGGUUCGAAUUCAAACAGCAGCCGCAAAUGCCCAUGCAAUGGAGGCAGACGGAUGCUUGCAUCCCCACUGAGUCUGUGGACAUUGCCAGCGAAUCAAGAGCUCAAGAGACGAAGGAUCUUGUUCAUCAAUUGCUCAAGAGCAGUAAGGAUCGAUUGCUUGCUGGAGCCAGUAGUAAGGAUCUCAUGGUCCUUCCGAUAGUCGGAAUGGGGGGGUUGGGCAAGACCACCUUAGCACAGCUCGUUUACAAUGACACUGAAAUUAAGAAGCAUUUCGAGUUGCGGCUCUGGGUGUGUGUCUCUGAUGAUUUUGAUGUCGAUUCCCUGGCUAACAGAAUAGUGAAAGAGAAUGGUUGUGAAGCAAGUGGAAGUUCAUCAGCACUGGACAAUCUUCAAAAGGUAGUGAGUGGGAAGAGGUACCUCCUCGUAUUGGAUGAUGUGUGGAACCGUGAUGAGCCCAGCAAGUGGGAAAGGCUGAAGUCCUACCUUCAGCAUGGUGGCAGCGGUAGCUCAGUGCUGACAACAACUCGCGAUGAAGCUGUUGCUAAACUAAUGAUGGGUACAACUGAAGGAGCCUAUAAACUUGGAAGCUUGGAUGAAGAGUCCUUAGGGAAAAUUAUCAAGGCAAGAGCAUUAUUCGGUUCAAAACAGCCUGGUGAACUAGUUAACAUGGUUGGUGAAGUUGCCAAGAGAUGUGCUGGUUCUCCUUUAGCUGCUACAGCAUUGGGCUCUUUACUGGGUACCAAGACCAGCAAGCAAGAAUGGGAGGAUGUAAUAAAUGGAAGCACGAUUUGUGAUGAGGAAAAUGGGAUUUUACCAGUACUUAAACUAAGUUACAAUUGCUUGCCAUCAUACAUACGGCAAUGCUUUGCUUUCUGUGCUAUGUUUCCCAAGGAUUAUGAGAUUGACGUGCAAAUGCUAAUCCACUUGUGGAUGGCCAAUGGUUUUAUCCCAGAGCAAUCAAAAGUGUGUCCUGAAACUUUUGGAGAAAGAAUUUUCAUUGAGCUGAAGUCAAGGUCAUUUUUUCAGGAUUUGAAGAAUGUCCCAUUUGAUGAAAAAUAUUUUAGUUAUGCAAAGGGUAAAAAGGACAUGUAUUGUUCUAGAAUUACUUGUAAGAUCCAUGACCUUAUGCAUGAUGUUGCACAGUCUGCUAUGGGAGAAGAAUGUGCUGCAAUAGCUACACACCCAAGCGAAAGAGAGGAUGUUCUUCGUUCAGUCCGUCACUUGUAUUUGUUAAUCUAUCGACGAGAAACUCUUCUGAAUGCUGAGAAAGGAUCUCCAGCUUUCCAAACACUGAUUUGUGACGGAUAUGAAGGAGAUUUGAAGAUUUUAUCAAAAUACAACUCUAUAAGAGCUUUAAAGAAUAAUAUCUAUUGUGGUUCAAUCCUAAGGCCGAAAUAUCUUCAUCACCUGAGGUAUCUUGAUCUCUCAGGAAGUUUUUUUGUAGCACUUCCUGAAGACAUCAGCAUCCUAUAUCAUCUGCAAACACUGAACCUUUCUUACUGUCAUCGUCUUGAACGACUUCCAAAGCAACUGAAGUAUUUGACUGCCCUCCGUCACCUCAACACUCACAGAUGUGAGCAGUUGAAAAGCAUGCCUGCAGAGCUCGGACGCCUAACUUCCCUACAGACGCUUACAGACUUUGUAGCAGGUGCCGACGACUCCGGUUGCAGUAAUUUGGGAGAGCUGCAGAAUUUGGACCUUGGUGGUACACUGGAGCUAAGCAAGCUAGAAAAUGUGACAGGAGCAGAUGCACAAGCAGCAGGUCUUGGAAACAAGAAAAAACUGACCGAACUGGUGUUAUAUUGGACCGAUAGUAACCAGGAAGCACAGAAUAAUAAUCAUAAAGAGGUGGUGGAAGGUCUCAAACCUCAUGAUGGGUUGAAGGCUCUGAGGAUAAAUCAAUGUGGGAGCAGAACUUUUCCAACUUGGAUGAAUACUUUGAAAGGCAUGGUGGAGCUCAAAUUAUUCGUUUGCAAAAAGCUCGAAGAGCUUCCUGCACUCUGGGAGCUACCAGCUCUGCAAAUUCUUCACCUGGAGGGUCUGGAGAGUUUACAUUGUUUGUGCAGCGGUGGUACUACACCCGUCACAUUUCCAAAACUGAAGGUGCUUACCUUGUUAAAAAUGGCAAAAUUUGAGGCAUGGUGGGAGACACAUGAGGUACAAGGAGAAGAGCCCAUAUUUCCCAAGGUCGAGGAGCUGGAGAUUAAGGAGUGUAACAGUUUGACUGCAUUACCAAAAGCAACGUCGGUGAUUACAGAAUUGUCUGGCAGAGUUGACACUAAGUGCCGCUCUGCAUUUCCAGCAUUGAGGAAAAUGAUCCUAUUUGAGUUGACUAUGUUUGAAAGAUGGGAGGCAGGCGAAGGAAUUUCAGGCGAAGAGGUAACCUUUCCUCAGCUCGAGGAGCUGUCAAUCAUGUAUUGUCAAAGCCUGAGUGCACUACCAAAUGGAGCUGAAACUGUGUGGUGCCGCUCUGCAUUUCCAGCACUGAGGAAACUAGAAUUAUCUAGUUUGUCGGCCCUUGAGAGGUGGGGGGCAGCUGAAGGAACUCCAGGAGAAGAGGUAACCUUUCCUCAGCUCGAGGAGCUGACAAUCGGGUCUUGUCGCAGCCUGAGUGCACUACCAAAAGGGCCAUUAUUGGCUAAGCAACCAUUUGGCAGAGCUGGAACUGUGUGCUGCCGCUCUGCAUUUCCAGCACUGAGAAAACUAAAAUUAUUUUUUUUGUCAGCUCUUGAGAGGUGGGGGGCAGCCGAAGGAACUCCAGGAGAAGAGGUCACAUUUCCUCUGCUGGAGAACUUGAGUAUCGAUGAUUGCCCGAAGUUGACUGAUCUACCUGAAGCACCGAAGCUAAGUGAAUUAUCCAUAAGAACAUAUGGUGAUCAGCAAAUAUCGCUAGAGGCAGCUAGCAGAUGCAUCCCUUCAUUGUCCCGUCUGCAUCUGGAUGUGUCGCCCGAUGACACAGAAACAACAUUGCUGCAUGUCAAGAAGAAAUUGAAUGGUACACUCGCCCUACCAGCUAUGAGGUUAGGUUGCUGCGACGUUUUUUUCUCCUCCCGCUCAAGCGCACUGGCGCUAUGGACAUGUUUUGCACAGCUAGUAGAUUUGAAGAUUUGGUGUUGCGAUGCUCUUGUCUACUGGCCAGAAAACGUGUUCCAGGUCCUAGUAUGCCUGAGGAACUUACAUAUUUCCACAUGUAGCAAACUGACAGGACGCACACAAGCUUCUGAUGAGCAAUCUGCUCCAGCUCCAGAACGUGGUGGACUCCUGCCAUGCCUGGAGUCUCUAAGGAUAGAUUAUUGUCCAUCUUUGGUAGAGGUCCCCAUCCUGCCGGCAUCUCUUAAGACAUUACAUAUUGAAGGCUGUGAUGAAAUCGAGUCCAUCGUAUUCUGUCACCCGGAGGAUACGAGAUUGGUGAGUGGAGAAGGUGUUGUACGGCCGGAUACGUCAUCAUUAAUUCCAGGGUCUACAGCUGUACUGAAGCUGUCAUCUGGAGCCAACCAUCGUUUCCUUCCAUUUCCAUGCCUAGAAUAUCUACUUAUAUGGUAUUGCAGUGGCUUGUCAGAGGUUGCCAAUCUUCCUCCGUCUAUCAAGACCUUGGACAUUUAUUCCUGUAACAAUCUUCAAUCCCUAUCAGGAGACCUCCCGUUGCUGGAAAAACUCGACCUUUUUAGAUGCGAAAGACUGGUAUCCUUACCGGAUGGGCCUCAAGCAUACUCAUCUCUUAGAGUUCUUCGGAUAAUGAAUUGUGAUGGUAUAAAGUUGCUUCCGCCAAACCUUCAGAGCCGUUUGGGUUACCUUGAGAAGAAAGAUCUAGAUGCCCGUUACGAAGGUAAUCUCCAGUUUCUUUGUUUCUUUUAACAAAAUGAUCAGGAGCUCAAUUGCUGUUGCCUAAAAUGCAACUCUGUGCUUAAACAUUCUGUUAGUCAACUGUUGUUGAUAUAUACAUUAUAUCGAGUAUAAUGCACCACUAAUACCUAUAUUUAUGUGCACUUGUGUCACUUAAAUCCAUUAACUUUCAUAUAUUGCACAUUCGAGGUAUCUAAACACUUACAGCUGGAUCAAGAAGUUUAUGCACCAAUAUACACUUCACUUUACUCUAGUCAUCCUUGUAUAUCUCCUUGUUGUCCGUACAAAGAAUUUAACUAUAAGAUGAUCUUUGUGGUUCACUUUUGAUACCUUGGUUGUAAACUUGUAAUUGCUGACUCGAAUCAUGUAAUAAAAUCAAUCAUCUUCCUUUAGUUGUAUUUAAAGCAGCAUGGCAUCAUGGAAUUAUUGCAGCCGAAUUCACUAGCUCCAAUUAAAGUGGCACUGGUCCUAGUGUUUCUCUGGACAUUCACUAGCUCCAUUGUAUACAGUUCAAGUAUGUGUAGUUUUCUUUUCAUGGCUUAUGCCUUUUGACAUAAAUAAUAAUUUUCCUUUGAAACAUUUACUAUUGGGUGCCACAGCAUAUUCUCCUGUGUAUAUAUACUUUCUAACUUUGUGUUGACUUGCAUGCAUAAAUUCUAACAUCAUGUAUGAUCAUGGCCUGAUUGCCAGAACCAACCUGGAAACGUUCGAUCAGGAAGCUGGUGUGCUUGAAAUAGUAGAUCAAGACCUGACCAAAGAAAGUUAUUUCCAAGGUAUUUUUGCAAAAACGUCACCAAGGUUUGUAAUAUUAGUGUUCUUGAUGAUUGAUUUGAAAUGAUGCUAGCUCCUAAUGCUGACUUCCUAUGCGUUGUGACUUCCUUGUAGGAUCGUGCUAGAUCUGCAAAAGAUGGAUUAUUGUGACUCUUGUUUAGAAUGUAUCAUAUGCGCAUUCUCUCCAGUAAAGUUAAGGCAAAGUCCUAGAUUUUGAGCAGAAAACAAGUCCUAGAUUGCAAGCUGAAGAAUUUAGCACACAGAGCUGCAUGCUCCAGUCUUUUAUCCUUAUUUUUUUCUUUUGAACUAUGACGUGUUUGCAUUCGUGUCUGCUUCAGCCUCCAGCACAAGCGAAACACGGGCAGCACUUCCAUUUUAUGAUUUGUUUAUCCACAUACAUGUCCGAUUGACCGCAGAGGAUACUUUGCCAUAGAGUAGACCAACAGUCCAACGUACUCAUGUUGUUGCUCGACAAGCUGUCCAAGCUGCUGCUUGAUAUGAACUGAAAGUGCUGAGUUUUCUCCCGUGUAUGUUCUGUGUAUCAAAUACUGAAUGGUGUGCAGGGUGAUCCUCCAUCCUGGAAUGGCACGGUCUUGUGCAGAGGUCUCAUUGUUGUUGACCUGUUUCUUCAAAACUGCAUGUGCAGCAACAUUUUCUCCUGGCAGUGCUGCAAUGGAAUUGAAAAGAAUGGUGAUUGUUAUAGUAUAAUUGUCAUAUAUAGUCUGGGACACAAAACAAUGGAGGUACAUGAGCAAGGAAGAAGCUCUGGAGGCAGGGGAUGGAACAGAACAGAGACACGGACUCUGUCUUCUUCCGAAUGCAGCUCCUCUGUAUUGGCGAUGAAGGACCCUACAAGUUGGUUCUCAUAGACAGAAUUGAGAGCUACGGAUGUCCGCUCCCAAGAACGAACUGCCAGAGCAAGAAGAUGAACGUAAUCUGUAUAGAUAAAAAAAUUUAACAGAAGUUUUCAUGAGUUAUCCUUUGUCUGGGGCCAUAGUACAAACCCUGCAUUUCGAAUUUGGGACUGCCCUCCUGUAUGGUGUGACCUAAAUUUUAACAAAAAUUAUCCUAGUGUGGUGUGGCUACGGUUGUUUCAUACGACUAGUGGUGGUACCCGUGCGACCCGCACUGGUUUAAAAAUAUAUAAUAAAAACAAACUUAUUAUUCAUGAUAUUAAAUACGUAUAAUAUACAAAUAAAUCUAAUAUAUAAAAGAUGUCCCAAACAAACUACCAGCAUCUUUGGAUCACACGGGUCUACCAUCAAGAAAUAAUUCUUAAGAAAUGAACUCUUUUGUAUAGUAAGUCAUUUUUCUAAUGAUACUGGCAGUAGUUAAAGCAGGAAUGUAGGAUAACUAGGUAAAGAAGUUUGUGUGAUUGUGUCUACCAUCCUAAGCUGGCAUUCAUGUCUACCAUAGUAUGACAACCCAUCUUGUCGAGUGGAGACAAUUUCGUGUAAAAAAAAGGAGUUCAGAUGAAUUUGUGUCAAUUAACGCUUUCCAGUACUACACAUCUUCCCCCAAUCACCUAGAAUUCCAGACAGAUCUUUCUUCCCCAACCAGCUAAUCCAGAGCAAGGGGUCAGAUUUUUUCUACCGUUUGUAAAUUGUAACCAUGCUACCACUUUACUCUCCCAUCUGUGUUUUAAAAGAACUUAAGUUAGAAAAUUUUGAAAGAAGAAUAAAACGAUAAACAAAAGCAACUGGAAACCCAAUUUUGAAGCAACACAAUGUUAUAUUUUCAAUUCACCGAUCACAGGUACCAUUACUGCCCUGGGGCUUUAAGUCGCCGCAAACAAAACUGAGGAGUCUCCUACAUACUACGAAUUAGCUGAAACUAUAAUGACAUCAUUCUAAUUACUACAAGAAAGGUCAGGUCAAUUUGGCUUAAUUACCUUGUGGUUCUGCUUCGGUUGAUGGUAGACAAAUAUUAAUACAAGGAAUUUAAGCAUUGCUACCUUGAAUGAACACAUAUAUCCAAAAGAAAAUGUGUUUGGAAGUAAUUCUUGCUCUAUUCAAAUGUCUAGGGAAUAAUUUCAAAUAUUAUUCCAAUUUGAUUCUUUGCCUCAUCGACAACUCAACUCAAUUCUCAUUACAAUAGUUCAUAUGUCCAGAUUGAACAUGUACUUUGAAAAAGAUGCAUAGGCUGAAUAAUGUCCCCAUCCCAAUAAACAUACCAAAACAAAACAGCUAAAUUAAGAAACACACAUCCAUAUAGAGGUAAAGCUUCUGCCUUCUUCCUCAAACAUGAUUUAGAAAUCUUUACAAACCAGCCAGCCUGUAAUAAAACGUCUGCAUAAUAAUAAAAAAAAAGAAUGAGCCAUUGAUACUUACGAUUAGUAUUAGAAACAAUCAUCUCAUUAGGGGCUUACAAAGUAAGAUUUAAAGUCCAAACAAAGUAAUAGUUGAGUGUCCUUGCAUUGCAAUCGCCAUCGAUACUAACAAGCAUUGUGCAUCAUUGAACUCUAGUGGGGGCAAUAAUAUGAUAAUAUUUAACUAUGAUGAAAUGGUGAGCCAUUAACCUUGCCCUUGUGGAUACAUAAGCAGAAGAAAAGUACAUAAAUUCCAAAUCCGAAUUUAGUAGCAAUAUCAUCAAUACAUUUUCUUUGAAACGCACCAUCUGCUGCGUUGUGGGUUCUGAUUUCUUGCUGAGGAACAUUUGCACAAGCAGAGCCAUGUUGUGUCCAGGUAACCAGUAGAACAAAUAAAAAAGGACUAUCUCUGAUGCAUAGGUAUCCUAUAAUCUUCGACAAAUACAAAGAGUUUAACAAAAAUCGAAUGGUUUUAAAAAAACAUCACAGAGUCACAAGAUUUAGAAUCAAAAGAAUGGAAGGCUUUGUAAAAACCAUGCGCAAUUUCCAAACAGCACAAUUUUCUCUUCCAUUACAUAGAUUUUAACAAGGUUAUUAUGUAAAAUUAAAGGUAUAUUAGAAAGGUAGAUAUAGGCACAUAGCUGUUACUCCAAGGUAACAUAGGUUUCAGGUAGAAAGCUUCAAUCAGCAGCAAAAGCCCCUUUUCAUCUAGAUGGCUUGCAUAAUCAAUGCCUCCUCAUUCUGGUGUUUGAAAUGCUCCUGUACAACCAUCACAACAGACAGCUCAUCAUCUACAUCACCUUACUGUAAAGAAAUACCAUAGUAAUUUUUCUCUGCACAAAUAAGCAACGUGUAAGAAAGCUUUAAUUUUUUCACAGCCACAAAAUUUAAAUCCAUAGCAUGUAGUAACUAGUAAGCAUCUGUAGUAAUUCCUAUUUAAAGUGUCCCAGAAGCUUAACCACACCAAAGCAAUCGACGUAGAAGUCAGAAAGCUAACCAUAAGUCAAUGAAAUAGCAAAAUGAAGCCCUCGAAAAGCGAAACUGCCUUUUCUACAGGAGGUAGAAGUACUAAUACUUACUUCCCCCAUCCCAAAUUGUGGGUCGUUUUAGCAUUUCUACAUUAAUAAAAAGUUAGAUGCUGCCUUUUCUACAAGCUGUCGCUCCCACGAGGUUAUCUGCUAGAUCACUGGACGCAAUUUGCCAAUGGGACUGUUAUGGCAAGUGGGCUGGCCGCAGGCCUAGGCCCACGAGUAUUGUAGCUCGUGAACAGUACCACAAGGGGAAUAAGAUUGGUUUGUUAGCAGGUCAUUAGAGAUAAGGUUGUUAGAGAGAUACGGUUAUUUAGAUUAGAUUGGGUUUGUUAGGUAGCUGGCUAUAUAAGCACAGCCACACCAUCCAUUGUAAUCAAGCAAGAAGAACCCUAAAAGUAGUCGGAGCCUCCAAGGGAGGGCGACAAAUAGGUUCUUCGUGCUAUCCCUAGUUCUACCAUAUCAAGGACCGACCAACCCCUGCAAACAAAAUAAAUGUAGCAGGAUGCUGGUUUAAGUCGGCAGAAGAAGGGCAAAGAAGAUACAAAGUAAACAUUAAGGAAUUGAUCUUAAUUGGAUGCUUCCAUUUGAAUCUAUCUAGCAGUGAUCUAAUAACCAGAUGCACCACCAUAAUAACCAAUGGCAAAAAAUCUCAGGCAUAAACUUCUAUGUUUCAGACCAUACAUUUCAGCUUGACGUGGUAACAAUAAUGGAGCCGUACUGCAGGAGGAUGUACUUGAAAAGUUUAUUUUACCAUGGAUUGAAGAUACGGCAACUAGCCACUUUGCGAUUCUUCAAUAUCUUUCCUUGAGCUAAUAACUAUUGCAAGCUCAUCACCGCUAACACGAAAAUCAGACCUGUAAAACAUAAAGCUUAUAACAUAACCUAAAGAAAAGUAAUUGUCUGAUUCCUAGAGCUACAUCUCAAGCAACAGUAUAUUACUAACUUUAGUAAUCAUGGAGAUGAAUGGCCAAUUCUUCAACAUAUCUUAUAAUUAGUUAACAUACUUCUGAAAAAUGUCUCAUACUUACAGUUUAUAGUUAUGCAUUUUGCAAAGUUAAAAGCUCUUUUAGAUUUCUGAAGUUUUCAGUGAGGAUCCGCAAAUCUCUGUGAUGAUACCAGUUUCAUACAAAGAUGCAAGAAUUAUAUCUAAUAGUAUUGCCAGACCCAUUGGAUGUGUCCAUGAAACACACCUACUAAUUGGACAAUGGCUGUAGUGAAAAAUUCUUUGCAGAGCAAUAACAUGAAACAGAUAAGAAAUGAGAAAAAAGAGUAGGGAUCACGUACUAACCUAGGCCGUGCACUUGCCUGCUGUAUGCUAAAGGGGAAGAAACAUGUUCGGAUCAAACAUGGUGUCCUUCAAACAUGGUGGCCCUCACCUCUAAACAGUCAGGUAAAUCUAAGAGAAAUAGAAUUGCUGCCAACUGAAAGACUCGAAACUGCUAGAAGAAAAAUAACUCGCAGUGGCAACCUAUCAACACCAUUUUGAAGGCUACAAACCCUUUACUGCGUUAGACAUUAUAAUUUUAGGCUUGUUCAUCAAAGAGUGAAUUGCCGAAUUGAAGGAACAUACAAUAGAUUCCACAAGUACAUGAUAAAGAGGAGAUGAUAAAGUGGAAAUAAUACCCCUACUUACAUGUGUCUUUGGAUACAACAGGUACACGAUAAAUAAAGAUACAGAAGUCAAAAUAAAGAGAAGUUUGAAGGAGCGUAAAAGGAAUCGCAAUGCAGUUUUAUUUGAAUCCAUGUAUGCAUGUACGUGCAUUCUUGUGUUCAGUUAUGACAAAGAGGGUUAGGAGGAACGAGAAGUACCUGCUAUGCUGCUGCAUCUGGCUCUUUUCCUGGCAAGAGAAACAAAUAAAAAAUGAAUAAGGUGCAUAAAUAACAUAGUGCUGCAAUGCUAAAGGAGGAAACCAAAACAAACAUUUACGAAAUUGAUUAUGAUUAUUAGUAACUGAAUACAUUCAGAAAAAAAUAAAAACCAUUCGCAUUAGGGCUUGGCGAUAUAACUGAACCGUUAGGUCGCAAAGAUCAAGCCAUGUCACUAUAAGCAAUGCUGGUAGUGAUAGGGAAAAAAAGAAAUAACAGUUCUGACAGAAUCACUUAUGAUUUGGUUGCACACACAAAGUAGCAAGGAAAAAAAACAGUGCUUAGACAAAUGAAAACUUCAUAAAUCAAACUGCUGAAUGAUUGCAAGGGAGGUGCAUACUUCCUCUUUCUGUUGCCCAUAGCAUUUGUCAUGUCAUCCUUCGGCAUAUUGGUGCUUGGAGUUCCCACACUGUUCAAGAAAGAAAAGGUACAAUUUCAGGUUUCAUUAAGACAGUGCUGACAGAAUCACAGCUGUUACUCUGUUAGAAUCUAUUGAGUCCAAAGUCUAAACAUGUAUAUAUGAAGUCUAAAUAUACAGGAUAUGCAAGUAACAACAAUUAUAAUGGGCAAAUAAACAUUGCACUGCCUGAAUUGCCAUGUCUACAUGGCAUUUAGCAAUGCAAACUGUACAGAAUGGAAAGAAAAUCUGAAGUAAACAAUGAUCAGUCUAUCCAAAUAUAGACUCAAAGAACAAUUUCACAUACAGGCACAACAUCUCGGCCUGGAGAAUGGCGCAACAUCUCUGCCUUGUUUCAGAAUUCAGAAACCAGGUUUGGUGCCUUCCAGCAGUGGGCUACCAUGCACACAGUACGUCCAUACCUAACCAGAUGGGCCAAAUAGAGGCGCAUCACCAAACCAAAUCAAUUUUCAUACUCCGUCCCUCCCAAAUUAUAAACUGUUUCGGUAUUACUAGAUUCAUAAGUUUUGUUACGUACCUAGAUAUACACUGUGCUUAGAUACAUAGUAAAUUCUAUGAAACUAAAAACCGCAAAAUGAUCUACAAUUUGGAACGGAAGAGUAGUAUGCAAGAAAUGUCAAAUGUGCUAUCGACAACCAGGUAAUUUGUUUCUGAAAGAGAGUAGGGUUCAGUUCAGAUAUAAUGCUCUUGGACCAGUGAGCAUCAGCAAGGGGCAAGUUGCCGAUGUCCCAGUCCAAUUCUAUCACACAACUUGCCUACUGGAUCAGCUUAUUUCUUUGUUGGGCAAGCAUAAUUUUCCCCGUAUAAAAAGGCCACACAACCUCAAGAGAAGAUAAUGAGGUAAUACUUGGUGUACAAUACACAUAUAAUUGCUCCGUUCUUCAAUAGACAGUUCAGGUGCAGAACCAGUCCGAAUUUAAGCAAAGACAGUUCAGGUGCAGAACCAGUCCGAAUUUAAGCAGGUUCAGACCAUACUCAGAAAGGUUAUGCUUGAUUAAAAUUCUAUUGAUAAGUAUUUAUACAUUAUAACUGAAGGUAAUACGUUUCCAGAUGGCGUCAAAUUGCUGCUAGUCAAAGCCUCAUAAAAAAGUUUAUUGGCAGAUCUCUUGGACUGUCAUAGUGCAUGCUCCCUGUCCCUGACAUUGUAACCCUGGUGUGAGAUCCUUAAGUAAUCUGUCACUGGAAUCACCAAUCCUAUCCGUAGACAAUUACUUAAACCUAAUUUGAAACAAAUAUUAACUAAAUGGGCCAAAGAAUGUGAAGCUAACUGAAUGCAGUCUGCAGCAGAACUAAGAACAAUGUCAGGGCUGAUUGCUCAUAGGCUGACAGCCACAGCAAAGAAAAAUGUCCCUGCAGAAUGAUCAUGGAACAAAGCUGGGGUUACUUACUAAACACGAAGAACUCUCUCCUUCCAAGCUUCUUGGUUCUUCCGUUCCAAUGCUCUGUGGUACACAUGAAAGCAUCUGAUCAAUUUAUGUGCAUAAUUCAUUUUCCAAUGAACAAGCAUUGGGUUUGCUGGAUGUGGCUCUGAUCAAGUUUCUUCCUUGACAUUUUGUCAAACACAUGGAAUGCACCAGACUUUUAAUUUUAUUGGGUCAAGAUUUUGCAGGGAAAAUUAUUCAAUCAAAGAAACAUUACAAUGGGAAAAUAUGUUGAAUGGGAGAGGAAACAAUAACUUGCAAAUACUGAAUUUCAUGCUAGAGUUGUAAGCCAAUGGCUAGGAAUCAAAUGCAAAUGGCAGUGGUUCAAUUCUAACCAAUUGAAACAUAUGCUUGCGAGGGAACCAACCUUCUUGAAGACAUUGCAAGAGUUGCAGAAGCAUCCCCUGUAAUGACAGAGUGGCACAUGGAGAUUAGAGUUGAAGACAUUGCAAGAGUUGCAGAAGCAUCCCCAUCAAGAUUAUCUUGGAUCGAAGGUUGGCAUCCAUCGGUGUUCCAAAUCUCUAAUCACUGAGAAAAUCUCCAAAAUUAGCAACGCAAUACAAGCACGUUAUUGCACGUUAUUGCAGCGCUGCUGGUGGAGCCGUCCGGGAUCCCCAACCCCUUGAGGUGUUCGCCAACCUUGUUUACAUCCUUGCCGCUGCCGCCAUCGCCUACGUACCCGACCAGAUCAACCACAGAUUAGAUUAGGCCGCACCAGAGACUGCGGGGACUGCGAAGGGAGGGGAAGGACCACAGCAGAUUAGAUUAGAUUAGGCCGCACCACAUAUAGUUAGCUUGCAUCAUAUACCACAACAUUCAAUAUAGUAUGUACAGGCAUCAAAUUAGGAAAGGGAAAAGCAAUCAGAUCUUUUUGAAAAUAAAAGCGAAGAAUGCUGUGUUAAUCAAAACAAAGGGUAAUGAACAUCUGAAGUGAGCUAUGAGCUAACAGAUUAUAUAUUAAAUAUAAUAAGCACAAUUAGGAACGAAAAUUUACUCCAAAGAAUCCAAAAACAAGAACAUAAAAAAAAGCAGAGGAUCAGAGUUCUGGCUUGGUUCUCAAAAGAGAAAUUAUAGCACUCAGUAUGUUCAUUGUCGAUCAUCUGGGGAAAGGGUCAUCAUAUCCUCCGAGGUAUGCAACACAAUUAAGAGAGCUCUUACACAACACCAAAAGCAUAAACUCUGACAAGGGAAAAAGGGAAAGGCAGUAUAUGAAAUUCACUACAGGUCAACAAGAAAAUACAAUGCCGUAUAAACUAUGAAGGAUCAGAAUUCUGGCUUGGUUCUCCGAAGAGAAGUUAUAGAGUACAGUAUGUUCACUGUCAAUCAUCUGGGGAAAGGAUCAUCAUAUCCUCCAUUCAUAUAACGUUAAAUCAUAGGAGAAAACAUCAUUUUAGAUAACAUGUCCAAAAAUACGUUGUCCAGAGAAUAAUUGUGCGGUAGUCCAUGUAGCCAUGAGGUUGUGGUGGCUGAAGUCAUGGAUUCGAUACCCAAUUCUCCUUCUCUCAAAGCCGUAUUCCCAUAUUGACAUGUAAAAGUUCAAUUAAGUAGGAAUGAGAAAAUGUAUGACUACCACUACAUAUUGGUAUAAGCCACCAGCAGCCGCGGGGGCCGAGGGGGCGCGGAGGCGCGCGGGGAGGGAGGUCAGCGCGGACCGCAUCGCCAUGUCGUCGCGCUCGAAUCUGCCUGCGGUGGCCUGGUAGGGUUGAAGGGGAGGAGAGGACGGGGAGGAGAGCCGCCGAUUGGGUCGCAAUCGAGCUAAUGUGGAGGGAGGUCGGGAGAGCAGACGGGAAGAAGGAAAGAAACGCGUGAUUUGCGGGCGGGAUUGGCCGCGGGUACGGCGGGCGGUUGAAAAAUAAGCCAUUCCCCCGCCGCCAUUCCACUCCGCUCCCAUUCCCCCGCCGCCGCAGGAGCGCACUCCCUCCUGCACCCACCGGCGGCCCGCAAGCCCCCCACACCUUCUCCCUCUCCCUCCCCUUCCCCAUUCCUCCGCCUCCCGGCCCCCGCGCGCCCGCGCCUCCCGCUCCGCCUCCGCUCCACCUCCCCGGCCGCCGCCUCCGACCUCACCGACUUCCCCAACCCGAACGGCAUCCUCGCGCCCAUCGACGUGGACGCCGUCACGGAGGCGGAGCUUCGCGAGAACGGGUUCCGGAGCACGCGCCGCACCAAGCUCGUCCGCACCGUGGGCCCGGCCACCUCGUCGCCCGAGCAGCUCGAGGCGCUCGCCAUCGGCGGGAUGAACGUCGCCCGCCUCAACAUGUGCCACGGGGACCGGGAGUGGCACCGGGGCGUCAUCCGGGCAGUCAGGAGGCUCAACGAGGAGAAGGGCUACGCCGUCGCCGUCAUGAUGGACACCGAGGGCAGCGAGAUCCACAUGGGGGACCUCGGCGGCGCCACAUCGGCCAAGGCGGAGGUGAGGUGUUGUGCUUGUAUGUAAGCUGCUGUCCAGUUUUGUACUUGGCGUUGCGGUUUUCAGUUUUCAGAUUGAACGCUUUCACUUGAACGUAUUCCGUGAAAUGUGCUUGUGCAAUGUGGAUGAGAGGAACGGGUGGUGGCAGUGGCAGUGUCAGGCAUUGCAGUUUCAUACUUCUGCAAAACCUAGCGAGUCAGGAUUUCACCAAAAUGUUUUUUUUCCAUCUUCAAAAUGGCUCAGUUGAUUUAGAUUUUCAGCUCAUGUUUGAAAUUGCUAUAGAAGGAGAAUCAUUCAGAAUUUCAGAUUGUCAUCAAACACUGGAUUGUGAAAGUGGUAAUCAUUUUCAAGGCUUUCAAUCUUUCAAAAAAAAAAUCAAGGCUUUCAGUAUCAGUGCAACUCAAAUAAAGUGCAUGGUAAACAUCACCAUGUUUUGGCUUUCUCUGCAUAUAAGACAGGGUGCUGGAGUGGUUCGACCGCGUUGAGGUCCCAAUCCAACCGGUCGGGUUUUUUCUAGGUGUCAAGUUUGAGUGCUUACCCGCAUUGACAUCCCAAUCCAACCGGGCGAGUCUUGUUUAUUUUUCGUUUCUUUUCCUUUUCCUACCUAUGGCCUCCCAGGGCCGUAGUCUUGUAUUUUCUGCUAUAUCAAUACAAACUCGCACGGUUCGUUCAAAAAAAAAGUGAUAGGCAUUGAGGUUCUGAAGGUUGUUUUUUAGAUCUUAGGCCCAAGCCUCAAAUGGCUUUUUUUCCCCUGUUGCAAACCUUCCUUUAAGUAUUGCAUCUAGCACCGGGGAAAACACAGGAAUAUCUUUCAUUUCAGCAACAGAAUCUCUUAUAAAAAGGGCGUACCCAGUGCGAAAGCUCCCACACAAGGUGGGGUCUGGGGAAGGGAAUUCCUAGACAACCUUAUCUUUGCAAUAUUCUUUUAAAAUUCUGCAAAGAGGCUGGUUCGAACCCAGGACCUCCGGGCCACAAGUGGAGAGUUUAAUUUGAAUUAGCUUUAUUAGUAGAAUGCUUGGCCCAUUUAUUGGUAAAUGGUAAAAUUCAUAAAGAUUAUCCUUAUUCCGUUAAUCAAUUUUAGGUGUUUAACUUGCAGCAAAUUCGAACAAUGACAGACAUGCAGCAUAUUGUUAGUUCAUCUGUAAGACUUAGCUUGCUGGUUUAAUGCUUUGUUAAAGGUUUGAAGUUAAUGUGUCUACUGGUAGCUACUGAAUCUCUUUAUAGUUUAUUUAUAUCUUUUUUCUUUAUUAGUAUAAAGCCAUGUAGAAGUUUUCAGAAUACUGAAAUUUCUAGUGUUCGUUUUGUGGAGUCUCUCCACCUACAUCCUUUUUUACAACUGCAUUUCAGAUCCUUCAGUUAUAGCAUGAAUAUUUUUUUAAAAAGAAACUUCUAGGUCUAUUCUUGCCCGUAAUUAAUGUUAGUGUCUGAUGAUAGUUGUGUUUUAGAUAAUACAUUAAUAUUAGUAAUCCAAAGAAACUGAACUACUUCUAUGAUUCUAAGGCCCUGUUUGGCAUGGCUCCAACUCCGGGUGGAGCUGCUCCACUCCAGAACUUCACAUGGAGCCAGCUCCGCUCCAAAACUCCAGAACAAAAAUGAGGUGUUUGGCUAGAUGGGUGCUCUCAGCUCCAAAAAAAAUCGAUUUCAGUGUGGAUUGCCAUUGUUGCCCCCCAAUUAAGGCACCACUUGUCAUCCUCUCUAUCCCAUCUUCUUCUUCCCCUUUUUCCACUGCACUGUGCCGCACACGGGAGACCCUCCAUGGGCGGCGGGGUGGGUAGCGACGGGGCGGCGGGUGGCGACGGGCGACGACAGGCGGCGGGGUGGGUGGCGGCGGGCGGCGACGGGCGGCCGGCGCGGCGACGGGCGCGGCGGUGGGUGGCGGCGGGCGACGGGCGCGGUGAUGGGCGGCGACGGGCGACGGGCGGCGGCGGGCGGCAACGGGCGGCGGCGGGCGGCAACGGGCGACGGGCGACGGGCAGGGCUCUGGCGGCGAGUGGGGCUCGGGAGAAUAGAAGGGAGAAUAGAAUGAAACGUUUUUUUGUGUAACCAGUGGCAUUGGUGGGUAAUUACCCACCAACUCCACGAUAAGGUUCGAAAGAGAGGUUUCUGGAGCAGCAAAAGAGGUGCUCCAAAACUCCACCUGCAUUUGCACUACAGCUCCAUGGAGUUGGCAACUCCAUGGAGUUUUGGAGUUGGGGUGUUUGGCUGAAUUUUUUGAUGGAGUUGCUGGAGUUUAGGAGUGGAGCCGUGCCAAACAGGACCUAACUGUCAUCAGUGCUAGCUAGGGUCACUAUGCCAAAAGGAGAUUAUAUCACCAUUCGGCUGUUUAUCUUAAGUUUUUAACCAUACAGUCAGAAGUUUGAUUGUACACCUAUUCAAUAAUCCUAGGUUUUCUUGAGCCACGUUAUUUACCCAAUGACUUCCAUUUUUCUUGGAAUUAAAACAUUUCUGAAGUAAUUAAUAAAUCAUCUCACAUUUGUUGGAUUCCACAGGAUGAAGAAGUCUGGACAUUUAGUGUUAGGUCAUUUGAAUUGCCUCUCCCAGAACGAACUAUUAAUGUGAUUAUGACGGGUUUGCUGAAGGUAUAUAAGCUGACCUAUUUGUUGAUAUCUUUCGCUGUUAUUGUUCACUGCCAUAAUUUUGCAUCAAAAUCCUACACAGAUGUGAGAGUUGGUGAUGAGCUUCUUGUGGAUGGUGGAAUGGCUCGGUUUGAGGUGAUUGAGAAGUUGGGACCAGAUGUUAAGUGUCGCUGCACGGAUCCUGGUUUAUUGUUGCCACGUGCGAAUCUUACAUUCUGGCGUGAUGGCAGUAUUGUCCGUGAGAGGAAUGCUAUGCUUCCUACAAUUUCAUCAAAGGUAAAUGCAGUAGCAUAAUAAAUUUCUUGCUGCAAUUACCAAAAGACCGCAAAACUUUGUUAAUCUAUGCCCCCCCUUGGUACUAGUAUUGCAAUGGAUUUACAGCUUGUUUUUUCUGUCAAUGCCAUGGUCAGUUCAAAACAACAUGUAUUAGUUCAAAGCCUUACAUUGUGCACUGAAACUCAUCUCUCGAUAGUUUUUGUCAGCUAUUUCUUAAGAAGGCUUCUACCACCUAGAGUUGUUUAACUGAAAAUUUAAUCUUCUAGUAGCAGAUACUAAUAUUUUAAGUUUAUAACAAUGCUGCUCCUUUUCUUGUGACAACUUGUGCAGGAUUGGCUUGACAUAGACUUUGGAAUUGCCGAAGGUGUAGAUUUCAUCGCUGUUUCAUUUGUCAAGUCAGCAGAAGUAAUUAAACAUUUUAAAAGCUACAUAGCUGCAAGGAGCCGUGGCAGGUACCAGGAGUAUAAUUCUGUACUGUUAUUUAAGUUUAUGCUUUCUUGGAAAAGCCAUAUUUGACAUUAUUAAACUGAUAACGGGUGUUCCUAGAACUGUUCUGCAUGCUUAGCCACUGUUUGUGGUUGGUUCCUGGUCAGUCCCAGAUGAUUACUCAUACUGGUAGGGUUUUAGUUGUAUUCUAACCCCCAAAAAAUCAGCCUGGAAUAUAUUGGUUUCUAUGUAGUUACUAGAGAAAACAGUGAAUCAACAAGAUAUCCCCUUUCUGGUGUUCCUCCUUUUCUAAAUAAUGCUGUGGAACAACAUGAUUCAUGGAAGAAUAAUAAGAACUGUUUAAAAUUGUUUGGCUUUCCUCAACCUGGUGUCUUCUCUGUGCCAAAAAAACAACACUUGGUGUCAGGUGUCAUCUCAGCACCUACAAUUCAUCUGCAUGCACUAGAAAAAUUGUGUGUGUGUAGCUCCUGCCAAAAUUGCCAGUUUGCCAUUGUACGUCCAUCUCAUGUUUUGUGGCUAAAACUCAGUUAGUGACACAAAAAGUUACCUAGAUUAAAAUCGCUAAUCCCAAACCGCAAGUGAUACCAAUCUUGCUAUGUUAUCUUUUAUACUUCAAUUAAUUGGGCCUUGCAAACAUCUAAAUCAGAAAGGAUUGCUAGUACCGUGUUUCUGAAAUGUUUCCUUCAUUUUGCUGAACUUUGUUGGUUCCUUACUCUAAUAAUGCUUUAUUUUAUAUGAUCAGUGAUAAGCAGUCAUUGCGAAAAUUGAGAGCAUUGACUCUUUAAAGAACCUGGAGGAGAUCAUCCGAGCAUCAGAUGGUGCCAUGGUAGCCACUCUGGAUAUGGGGGCACAGGUUCCCUUGGAGCAGGUCCCCUCAAUACAAUAAAAGAUAGUUCAACUGUGCAGGCAGCUCAACAAGCCAGUCAUUGUUGCUUCUCAGCUCCUUGAAUCAAUGGUCGAGUAUCCUACUCCCACAAGGGCCGAAGUUGCCGAUGUUUCUGAAGCUGUCCGCCAGCGUGCGGAUGCUCUAAUGCUUUCUGGUGAGUCAGCAAUGGGAAGAUAUCCAGAGAAGGCUCUUAGUGUUCUGAGGAGCGUUAGCCUCAGGAUUGAGAAGUGGUGGCGGGAGGAGAAGCGACAUGAGGCACUGGAACUUCAAGGUGUUUCAUCUUCAUUCUCUGACAAGAUAUCAGAAGAAAUCUGCAACUCGGCAGCUAAAAUGGGUAAGUACUGCCACCAUCGUAUUCAGUGCAUACCAUAGUUAUGUUGUCAUAGCAACUGAUAUAGCAGCUGACGCCAUCUUUGUUUUCACAAAGACUGGCCACAUGGCCUCCUUGCUCUCACAGUGCCGUCCUGACUGCCCAGUUUUCGCCUUCACAACAUCGACGUCCGUCAGGAGGCGGCUAAACCGUCAGUGGGGCCUCAUCCCAUUCCGCCUCAGCUUAGCAACUGAUAUAUUCAAUUGCUUUGCUGUUUCAUCUUCCUAUUAUUGUCCAUUAUCUUGGUUACUGACAGAACAUUUAGAUUCCAUUUUCUUAGAAGCUGUGUCUAAACAAAACCAAUUUCAUCUGCAGCUAACGGCCUGGGAGCUGACGCCGUCUUUGUUUUCACAAAGACUGGCCACAUGGCCUCCUUGCUCUCACGGUGCCGUCCUGACUGCCCAGUUUUCGCCUUCACAACGUCGACGUCCGUCAGGAGGCGGCUAAACCUUCAGUGGGGCCUCAUCCCAUUCCGCCUCAGCUUCUCAGAUGACAUGGAGAGCAACCUGAACCGCACCUUCUCCCUGCUAAAGGCCAGGGGCAUGAUCCAGUCUGGCGACCUGGUGAUCGCCCUCUCUGACAUGCUGCAGUCCAUCCAGGUGAUGAACGUACCCUAAGAAAGAGCCUAAUCCUCUGUGGGAUGAUCAUAUGAGAUGGAAGAUGGACCAUGAACUUUAUCGGCACCUUGAAGGACAGUUCCUUGCACCAAAAUUAUUCGCUUUCACCCUGUAUUAGAUGCUGGGCAGGACUAGAGAACUGUGGCAAUAAUUUGCAGCUUUGUGCCCUGCUGUAAAACUGUUAUAUUACUAUUAGCUUUAUUUAUAGUCUGACCUUGGGGUGACUCUUUAAUGUGCAAGCUUUGGGUCUUGCUGUGGGCCGUAAUGGGCUUAUAAGUGAAGCGCAGGGAGAAGAGGAAGAACCCGCUGAAGAACAUGGCUGCUGUGCUCAAGCUCAACCCCUACCUCGGCACUGCCCGCAAGAUGGCUACCCUCGCUAAGGUUGCCCACAUCAAGGCAAGGAAGGAGAAGCUCGAAUCCAAGAGGACCAAGCUUAGCCCGGUAUGACCAUUUUUCUCCCUCCAUUUCAUUUCUGAUUAUGUCAAUAAUACCUGAAUUGAUCACUUAGAUUGCUCAUGUAGUUCUGGUGUACUGUUUAUGACUUGUAGUGUUUGCUAUGGUACAUUUUCUGCCCCUUGUAUGAAUGGUUUAAUUUGUUUGAUGUAUCAUAAUUUGAGCAAAUUUCAUUGCUUGAAAGUAUUAGUACUGGAGUUCUGUGUGAAUAACAUGAUUCUGCUGUAGUGAUUCUUGUUGGGGUUUAGUUAUGUGCAUUGAUCUAAUGUUGUGCCAACAAAUAUUCUUGUAAUUGCGCGUUUGUGCUGUAUCAGUAUGCAUGGGUAAUCUAGUUUGUCAUUGUUUACUAUUUGCUCAGGGUGUUUCGGUACCCUUAAUUGCUUUUAGUAAGGCAUUUGUCUAUGUUCUGUUCCAUUUCUUUAUAUGCUAGUAGAUAUCUGAGCAAUUGUUUGUUCUACUCUUUUCUUAGAAAUGAUUUAUGGUACUGGAAGCUUCGGUAAUCUUUGCAUAUAUGGCAUAUGACAUGCCCUGGUAACUCAUGGGUCAGGGUUUAUCUUGAAUGUUUUAGUUCGAUCCCUCUUGUUGAUUUGUGUUCUGAAUUGGUAACUUGGGACUAUGCCUUGUUAGAAUGUGAUGAAUAGAUUGAUGUUUUACUAAGCGUUUUGAUUACAGAAUACUAGAAUGAAUGUUAUUACAUUAUCCAUGUUUCGAACUGAAUCCCAAAAUUUACUGAAUCCCUUCACAUCCAUAUAUCUCCUGAAUAUUUGUUUAACUGUAUAGUUUGAUAUGUUUACAUUGUUGUCAAGAUUCUUUGUUGCAUGCCCAUAUAUCUUCUGAACACUACAGAACUGACCAAUAUGUGAACUACUGUUGGUUUAAUGUAUCAGAUGCUGAUUAUUUCGUUCAGCUGUAUGCCCUUUUGUCAACAAACACGUACUGAACAAUAUCUGUAGAUCCAUUGUUGUAGGAGGAGGCUGCCAAGGUCAAGGCUGCUGGAAAGGCAUGGCACAGGACCAUGAUCUCAGACAGCGACUACACCUGAGUUUGAGAACUUCUCAAAGUGGCUCGGCGUGACUCAGUGAGCGGGUGCUAUCUAGUUAAGUUUUGAGUAGUAGUGUGGCUGAACUUAUCUCGAGAGGGUUUAUCGCUUUGUUUUAUCCUGCAUCAUCAUAAGAAUUCAAUCUGUGGGAUUUUAAGACAAGUCUUCCUUUUUGUUAAUGCGUUGCUGUGAAAUCAUUCUAGUAAAUAUUCACCUUGACGAUCUUUUGGAAGGACAGCGACCACAAAAAUUAUGAAUUGGGUAGAUGGAGGAUUUAUGUGCUGUAUUGAGAGAGCCCGUAGGUGCUAGAUUUCUCCGGAAACGUUCGAUUUAAGCUUGUAGAUAUUGUGAUGAAUCCCGUCACCAUUUUCCCAUGAAACAUUCUGAAAGUUCUGGUAGUGGUAUCCACUGCUGCAGUUUUACAAGCAUGUAGGGUUGUUCCUCUGUUUGUUGAUUAGGUAUUAUGUUUUGCACAGUCUUAAAGUUUAGAAGGUAAUUACCCAGGUGUUCAAGUAUACCUUCAAGUUUUUUUUUACACAGUGUACAUAUUACCUUGUUAUAGUGAGAACAGAGAAGUCCACCGCAAAAGUAAAGCCUAGCAUAUAUUGUUCUUGCAAUAGACCAUGUGUGUAUAUGCCCCUUUGUAGGUUGAUUAUUCCAUUCAGAACAUAGCAUGGACCUCUAUAGUGUUUUGGAUAAAUUUUUUUAUUAUAAAGGUACUUGCCGAGGCACCAAUUUGGGAGUCUGCGGGGUAAAAUGUUCCCGGCGUACUUCAUAUUGAUAUCAGUGUGUUCAGCGAUAUCUGUUGCAGCAUUUGCAUACCUGCAUGGAUUCCUUCUUUCGGCCCUUAUCUGUAACCUUUCAAACCUUCUGGUCAUCACACCUAUGAUGGUUGAAGUAAAAUACUUUGUUUGUGGCCUUGAGCUUUUUACUACCUCUCGUUUUGCAUUUGCCAGAUGCUAGUGUGCUAGUUAUACAGAAUAUCACAAAAUUAUAGUUUGAGUAUGUGAUAAUAUCGUUACUAAUGAAUGGAAUCUUACACUUUUUAUAUGCAAUUUUGAGAUUUACUUUGCUGAUGGUAGUAGAGGUAUGUAAAGCAAAAGAAAGUUACUUUUAAAUUAUUAGUUAUAUGGUUAUAUUUUAUAGGUCAGCGAUUUCUGAGUACUAGUCAUAGCAGCGCUCACAGGAAUAUACUGACUUGUUCUUUAUUUUAUUUUCAAGAAUUAAUACAGAUAGCAUAAAGCAGAAUCCAGUCCAUGAAUAGUUAGCGAUCUAGCAUCUGGAGGUGAAAAUCUAGCUUGGUUAGAACUUAGAAGCAUAGUUGUGGAUAAAAUUUGUGGGAAUCUAAUUUGACAAAACAAGUAGACAUGUCUGGCUGCAUAUAUGAACCUUUCAAACUGCAUCUUAUUGUUUCUGAGAUCUGAUUGGUGAUUUUUCCACAUUUGCAUUGUAGCACACAUCACUUGGAUAUUGUUUUAGAGAGCAAACUUGACAAUCGAGAUAUCUUGAUUGCUGAAAUCGAUGCUGACAAUGUUCUGUUAUUUGAGUAGGAUAGGGGUUAUACAUAAAAAAAAUAAGAAGAGAGAAUGUGCCUUGCAGGCUUGUACUUUGGUUGGUUGAGCAUUGCUCUUUGUAGUUUGCGCUUUCAUUUUCACCCGUGCCUAUUGAAUUGCUCUCUUUCACCUAGAUGAUGAUGAAGAGGUACAAGAUAGAAGGACCUCGUGAGGCCGGGUACUCCAAGAAUGAGGAGAUGGCCAAGAGGAACCCUGCCCUGGCGGCAAUCAGUCAGAAGUUCAGGAUGAUCCACGUGCUGUCGUCACUGGCCAGCCCCAUGUCCUUCGGCAGCCUGGCCAUCCACUCCUGAUACCUCCCCAGCAAGCUCGACCCGUGACUGCCUGACCGAGUGUUAGCUGGUGCCUGGUGAGUGGUGACCUACGAACUCUGAACUUAGCCUAGGUUUCUGUGGAGAAAAAAGAAGUCAUGUCUGUGCAAGAACAUUGGUCCUCGGGAUGAUAUGAUUAGCCUUUAAUAAUGUACAUAAUGCAGGAACUUCGUUUCAUUUUGUAAUUUGUCUAUAGGAAAUGUGUCUGGCAAAUUCCUAGAUUUUACAGCCAAGAAAUGCAGCUAAACAUGGUCUCUCGGCUCAUGGAGCUUGGGUAUAAAGAAAUGACUAGGAUCUUCUGCAACUUUUAGAAUGCCUACUAUCUGAAAAAAAAAAUUGGCCAGAGAUGACGAGUUUGGUAUGCAUUCCUGAACACUGGUUUCUCUUGUCUGGUGGUCCAAAACCAUAUGGCGUUCCUUCAUCUAGGCCAAAUCUAUUAUAUUCACUUUCUGAAGAUAAUAUCCAGUGAAGCCAAGCCGAAGUCUAGAAAACAAGUCCACAUUGCAAACUGAAGAAUUUAGCAUAUGGAACUCCAUGCUCUAGUCUUUCAUCCUUCUUCAAGCUGAAGUCCUUGAUUUUGAUCACAAAACAAGUCCCAGACUGCAAGUUGAAGAAUAUAUAGCAUAUUGAUCGAGCUCCAUGCUCCAGCUUUUUAUCCUUAUAUUUUCUUUUGAACUAUGGCGUGUUUGAACUCAGUGUCCGCUCCAGCGUAAGCAAAACACAUACACAGCUAGCACUUUCAUUUCAUGACGUGUUUGUCUACAUUACUGCAGAAGUACUUGCCAUAGAAUAGGUCAACAAUCCAACAUACUACUACUCAUGUUGUUGUUCGACAAGCUGUCUAAGCUGCUGCUUGAAUACGAACUGAAAGUGCUGAACUUUGUCCAUGUUAUGUUGGUAGUAUAUCUAAUACUGAACGGUGUGCAGGGUGAUCCUGCAAGGCUUUUAGAUAGCACGGUCUUGUGCAGAGGUAUUGUCGAGCUCUGUUUCUUCAAAGUUACGUCUGCUCUGUUUCUUCAAAGUUACGUCUUGCAAUUGCAGUAACAUUUCUGCUGGUAAUUCUGUAAUCUCUACUAUAAAAAAAGCAAAGAGGACACAAAAAUGCGGUCCGUCGUUUGGCCGCCGGGCGAUGUCCCUCGCUCCAUUUUGGGCCGUCCGCUUGCAGCAGCCUCCGCGUGCAGCCGUUGACCUGGAGAUUCCGUGAGUUGCGGCCCACACGUUUCCUCCUCUGUCCGUUUCCCUCCUCGCGGAUCCCUUCCUCCUGCAGUCCUGCCCAUGCGUCGCCAUCCGCCGUCGACGCAACUCCCUCAGUCGCGUCGCCUGCCGCCGCCACUCCCUCCGUCGCCGCAACUUCUCCCUCCCUGCAUCGUUAGGCCUGCGUCGCCAUCCGCCGCCGCCCCUCCCUUUCCUCACCUCCGCGCCGCCAGAAACCCCCGCCCCUGCCUGCGUCGCCAUCUGCCACCGCCCCUCCCUUUCCUCGCCUCCGCGCCGCCAGAAGCCACCGCCCCUCCCUUUCCUCGCCUCCGCGCCGCUAGAAGUCACCGCCCCAUCCUGAGUCGCCUCAUCGCCGCAAGCGACUCCGCCCCUCCCUGAGUCGACGGAACACCGACAGUCGAGGCUACGCUGCACGCCAACUAGAUUUCUCAGUUCGUUGGGUUUGAUCACGGUACCUCUCAGUUUCUUAGUUUGUCAUGCAUCUGAACUUUGUGUGACGUUCAUGUUCUUGUCAUUUGAUUUGUUUGGUCGGUGUUCAUGUUCUUAGAAUCUGGUGCUACGUGACAUUAUAGGCGGUGUUGUGUUUUCUGAAUUGUCGGCGACUUGAAAAUUUGAGAUUCAGAUCGUGAUUUGUUUAGGUGGACAAUUAAAAUUUGAUGAUAUGUCCUUCCCGAGAGAGAAACGUAUUACCUGUGGUAAUUGAGGAUGGUAGAGAUAAUUUACUCUGCAUGUAAACUGAGGACUGAGAUUCAAGAGUAAUCAUAGAACACGUAGACCACAUUGACUGGAAAAUUAGUCCUCUCCAAUUUUUGCUGAUCUGUCCCUGAUAGUACAUAAUUAUUUUGCCACUUUUUGUGCAAGCUUAUCGAUGUACGAAUUAAUAAUGGAAAGUAAGGAUUGCGAUAGUAGGGAUUGGGACAUUUGUUAUGCUUAUCGAUGCUUAUGGCAAUGCUUCAUAAAAGUAGUAUACACCGCCGUGCACUUCGAAUUCAUGAUGGACAGUAGGGAUUGUGAUAUGUGAUAUGCUUAAGGCAAUGCUUCAUAAAAAGAGUAUGCACCUCCGAGCACUUCAAGUGUACUCUGAUGCACACACAAGCACACAGUUCUAGAUGGUUAAGCCGGUCUGUGAUUAGCAAGAUUUUCAUGAGAAUGGUAUCAGUUAUCAGACAUUCUGUGAUAUCUUGAAUGGAAAAAUAAAAUCAAAAAGGAAAGCACGAUAAAUAGAUAAUUUUUCUUGAAUUCUCCCAUAUUCAGAAAAUUGACUGACCGAGUGUGGAUAAAUCCUUUUUUUUGUUACUUGGACCUCAGUUGGCCUUUAUAUUACUCUGAAUAUGUAAGAUCUCAAUAAACAGUAAAUUUGAGGAGGAUUUGCUAUCAUCUUUUGAAUCGUUCAUCCCGGUGGCAGAUUUCUUGAUUGCCUUAAUUGGGGCUGCCCCAGUUAAUGAGAACUAAAUAGCUCUCAUGAUGAAAACAAGUGUUAUUCAUAACAGCUACUUGUAGUGAUGGUGUCUGGCAGAGUACCUUGCUUAUCCAGUGCUUUCCUGUGACAUUCCAUUUUGCUUUUCUCUUGAAGGGUGUUUAUGUUCGUCGGGUUGUGCCUACUGCUCCAGCAAGCAGUGUUUUGUGAAAGGUAACAUGUAGUAAUUAGAUCCAGUUCACAUAUUGAAUACCUUUGGUUGUCCUCCAAUUUUUGCUGAUCUAUCCCACAUAAUUUUUCUUCUUUUUUCCACACAAUUUUUCUUCUUCUUGCCACAUAAUUUUUGCGGCUACCAUGUUUGACAAUAAAAAUUGGUAUACAGUCAUCUACAAAAAUCAUCCCCUGGAUACAAAUAGUACAUCCCCCUGGUACAAAUAGUACAUCCCCCUGGUUAGCAAUUUUGCAGAUGUAGAAGUACAGUUCCAUUACCGGUUAACCACUAUCUACGUUCUUAUUUUCACUAGGAGUUACAUUAAAAUAAUUCAUUCAUAUGUUCUGUAUAAAGGAAUAGACAAAAAUGGCACCACUUUGUUUUACCUAUGUACAAAUAACUGUCUGAUUGGAUAUUACAACAACAAACAAGAAGAGGCGCUUCAUGAUCAUUUGAUUUAGAACUACAACCUAAAAAAUAAAUGGUCUGUCCAGUUAUUAAUAUUCUGGUUUCAUACUGCAACAUAGAAAAGUGAUUAAAACAAGCCCAAGUAAUCUGUCCUGCUGCACUUUCUUAUCUAUAAUCCUGAUGCCAAUUUGUUUCAUGUGCCUGGAAGUGAUGGGAGAAGGUGCAGGAGAAGGAUUUAGAAGUUCUUAAUUUGCAGGUGCAAUUUUUUUAUGUGACGCAUCUAUGUGACGCUUGACUUAUCUUAUUUCCAAAAUCAAACACUUCAUACUCGUGCUAAUGAUUAGAACCUGAUGAUUGGGAAGCUGAUGAGGAUGUCGAUCUCGAGACGGCUAAUGAAGAUUCCAACGAACCCGAUGUACCGGAUCCAAACGAUGCGGUUUAUGCUAAUGUCCCUGACGAGACGCACAUGCUCAAGCUAGAGGAUAACUGCAAGCACUGCAAUGCAAAGAAGUUUGAGUCCGAGCCACCUGAAUUCUGUUGUCAUAGACACCACCGGAACUCGUGAGACUGUGGUUGAGCUCGGACGCUGAUGCUAGGCAUUUCCGUGCAAACAUCAGAUAUUUCAAUGAACACUUCUCUUUCACUUCUCUAUACUGUAAACUUGAUCGUGUGACCACCGACAUGACAAACUGUGGAAUUUACACAUUUCAUGCCCAUGACCAAAUCUACCAUAACAUAUGAUCAUUUGGUAAAGAGGAUGGUCACGAACCUGGACACCUCGAGCUUUAUUUUUACGACGACGAUCUGUCUCUUCAGCAUAGGCUCCGCAAGUGCCGUGAGAAGUCUGCCCAAGAAGAUAGGAGGUCAUCUAGAGGCUAAAGGACAUCUUACAUGGCAUUAAUCCCUGCUUAGAGAAUCUUAGGAGUAUAGGCCAGGUUGACAACCUUGAGGAUUACUAUGUCGAGUUGAACCUUGACCAACGGCUAGACCAGAGAACAUAUAAUGUGCCAUUAACGUCGUUGCUGCCGUUUGGAUUGAGGGGAGCGAGCCUCGGGGCCAGUUCGAUAAUAGUGUUGUCCUCCAAGGGAAGGAUAGGUCGAUCCAUGGUAUUCGGCCCUAUCGUGUGUGCUACGAUGCUCUCUCAUACCCGCUAUUCUUUCCAAGAGGUGAGCUCGGGUGGCACAAUUGCAUUCCAAAAGUUGGUGUGACUGAGGUUGAAGUAAAUAAAGCUCGAGCGAUCCGCAAGGCGCGUGCUGAUGGUGGUGGCGACAAUGAUGCUGGUAAAUUCAUAUGUCUUUAUAGUGUCUUACAAACAUUAGACAAAUUUUCCGCAUGUCGUCAAUCACGGCCGCCUUUUUUUGGUUCGUCGUUUGGCUUCGUUUGUCUGCCUCGCCGCUCAGUUUUUCUCAAGAACAGUCCGUCUCCCCGCCCACGUUCGCCGACAGACGCACCUCACCUCCUCCGUGCUGCACCCGGCCGCACCUCCUCCAUCCGCCCUCCGCCACUUAGCCAAGCCGUGCCUCACCUCCUCUGUCCUCCGAGCGCGGAACCACGCCCGCGCUUUCCCCGCCCGGCCGCACCUCCUACCUGCUACGCUCGGCCGCAGCUCCUCUGUCCGCCGCCAAGACGGGCCACCUCCGUCCGCUGGGCGUCCAACACCGGCGCGCCACUGCCCAGCUGCCCCUCCACACCCCUCCACACCGGCGCCAUCCCCGGCUGCUCCUCCAUGAAGGGAUCUCCAAAUUAGUCCCAUAUGCAGCGGAGGUGAGAAGAUGGAGGCACGAGAGGUGGGGCCUAUCUCGAGCCCGGUGUCAUCUGCCUUCAUGAAGGGAUCUCCAGGUUAGUCCCUUAUGCAUGCAAACAAAUCUAAUCAGCAGCCUCUCCUUUGCACCAACGAACAGAUCCAAUUGUUCUUGAAAAUCAGGUCCAAGUUCACAUCUCUUUUGCCCUCCCACUCAAAGCACAAUCAGCCAGCGCGACAGGGAUGGCGACACAGACACCGACGGCUGGAGCUCCCUCAAUGCUGCCAGGUAAUUGACUAGCCAAUUACUAUUUGGAUGUGAUGCACAUUGGUCACGGAUUUGUAAAUCUAUCAGUUCCUGCUUCCUGCAUCCAUUUGUGCAGUUCUUGUGGUGGAUGCAGUGCACUGAGUAUAGAAAUUAUUUUUGAUUACUUCUGUGAAACGUUUUGGCCUUGGCAAGUAUGUACAGAUUUAGUUGUUGUUUUUUCAGUCAGAGGUGAGCUACGUGUAUGGGAAAGAAAAACUUGAUUGCUUGUUCUAGAUCUUGCCUUCAUAUAAACUGUGAUGCUAUCAACAUGGAGAUUUGAUGCAUUCUACUCUCUCUCUAUUUAACAUGGAAAAGAACUCGUGUUUACUCAAUAAUGCUUAUGAAUUUUCCUUAGAGUUGCAUUUAUUCAUCAUUCUAAAGUAUUCCGUGUCAAGUAAACUCAUACUUCUAAUUUUUCAAAAAAAAAAUCUGAAAUCAAUGAACCCCUCCUUCCUUGUGAAAUUGUUGUACCUUUUUUCUUAUGACAUCUUAUCUACUUCCACUUUCCUGGUGCAGAAUUUUUGAAAGUAGGAAACGUAAGCAAUGACAGUGACAGUCGCAGCAAUACUGAGCUCAAUAGGUGAACUAGACAAACCAUUCUGCUGUAGUUCAUUUUAUCACUGCAGUCAUCGUCAGACAAUGAGGUCAGAACCAGCAGGUUCGCAGAGUGACUUGUGACUUGUGGAUAAUCCUGCAGAUUCAACAAUGGUAAAGUAACGAAUGGUUAAGGUAUAAGUAGAUUUACUCAAUUAUACUCCAAUAGCUAAUGCAUUGCAUAUAUUGCUUGGCCGUGUAUAUAAAUAUUACAUCACUGUUCAACAUAAGUAAAUAGCUUAGUCCUUCUUAAGUCCAUUUUGGUAAAAGCUAUAGUUCAAUUAGUUUUCUUGAUUUUCUUAAAAUUUUACUCAAAGUUUGUGCCUUAUGUUGUACAUUUGCCUCACGGGCUGGCUAACUGACCUACAUGAGGCUGGCCAACUGAUCUGGAGGUUCACUAUCUAUGUUCUUUCAUUUCAUUGUCAAACAUAGAUAUUCUAAAUCUGAAAGUCUGUCGAAAUUUCCUAUGGAGUCUUGUGGUACCUUUAGUGUUUCUUAUCAUGUCCAGUAGAAGGUCUUGGAAAACAUAUUUGCAAUACAUGAUAUUUUUUAAAUCAAAAGUAGUAAUAUGCUGUGUAAUUGCCUUCUUGCCUCCUGACAUGUGGCAAAUUCAUUGAGCGUUUUCACUUACAUCGCUGGCAUAUUCAGUGAACAACGCAAAGAUGAUGGUUUUGAGUGAGAGGUCCUUUGGUCAAGGUAAUUUCAGAGCAUUGAUUUUCAAUGUACUUGUAAACCCAAGAGAAAGUUGAGCAGGCCACAUUCAGUUGUUAACUGGACUGUUGGCUUGCUGCUAUGGCAACAUGUUUUCAGCCUUAUUAUUACUUGCCGAGUUUACAUUGGGAUCUGAAAACUGGACUGUGUGCCAUUAGUUUUGUCUGUCUCCAGGACAUUGCCCAUGCACAUGAACUGACUGAUUACCAUGAAAAUUCACCUGUUUCAGUUCCAAACUAAUUAUUGCUUCAAGGUCACAAAGCUAUAUGAAAAUCUGUAUCCAAUUGAAUGCCGGAACUCUCUAGGAUGAUGUCAGGCAUUCCCAUUUAUAGGUUAACCUGAAGUGAUUCUUGAAGAUUAGUUUCUGCGUGGUUGAUUUGAAUUGUUUGUAAUAUUGUAUGCUUCAUCUUGAUUACUAUCAAUUUCACAGGUCAUGUUCAUUGUGAGGAAUGGAGCGCAAUAAUGCUUUGUGGUAACUCUGGGCAGACGAAAAUAGGCCACCUCUACCAUUUUCUUGAUAUUUAUUUUCUGAUAUCUGACUAUUGUAUUUGUCGUGAAAUUUAAAUUGUAGACGCUAUCAGAUCAUGUGUCACUUCAUGCUUUGAUCAUGUGAAAAAAUUCAGUGUAUUUACCCAUGAUCGGUGCCUUGCCCCGAGGGGUCUUUAAUUCCUGGAGGGGUCUUUAAUUCCUGAAUUAGGCAACGGUGAAUUUUCUUCUUAAUAUAUAGAUGCGCAGCUCUCCCGCAUGUUCGAGAAAAAUGAGGCAACAGUGACACAGCGCUGGUAGAAAGUAGAAAGUGAAGAAGCGGUUUGAGCAUAUUGCUACUGACAGCUACCUCCGCAAGAUUUGGCCGGUACUGCAAGCUCUGAGUUUCACAACUCUGAACCACUUGGUAAAAAACAGUCUGAAUUUUGUGUUGUGAUUAACUGACUAGACAUCCGAAUAAAUUAAUGUACUGAUAUUCUGAAAUUUGUUUUAGCACUGGGACUCUCUGGACUAUCCGGUGGAAUCAGGCCUUGGCAGGACUGAGGCAGAUGUGGGGGGUGACACCGUGCAGGUGAGGUGGUGGUGGUAUCUGGCUCUGGCAUCUCCCUUUAUCCGCUUGAUGGAAUGGCAGCAUGGGUAUGGAGACACCUUCAGCAUCUAAACAAAGCCCAAAAGGUACAAAGAUACUAUUUAAUCACUUUUGAUUUGUUAAUUUGCUAUCAUAUAAAUUGCAGUAACAGGUCUUGAGUAAUAUGUCAAUGCUAUAAUUUUGCUUGCUUGUUGUGUGUCCUCUCUAAAAUCUUUUCUUUACCAUAUAUAUCCAUAUGCACAAGAUAUUUGCAGUUACAAGUAUAAUCCUCAAGGAGUGAAAAGCUUGUGAUUCUGUCCGUGCAGGCAACAGGCAUUGAUCGCUAAUCAGCAUGGCCUCCACAAGUACCCAUCAUGGGAAGUGCAGCAACCAGUAUUGUGUUCAAACCUGAAGAAAAUAUAUGGGGAUGGCUGGGUGGCUGCACAGCUCAUGGCAGGGACCAAUUUGGAGUCUGCAUCUUCUUUCCCAUAUAUAUAUGAUAUUUCCAUAUACUGUCAGGAUGCUAUUAAACUGCCUUCACCAGAUUACAAUAAACUGUGAACUUCAGAACUUUAAUUUUCGAUAAGUUGGAGUCGACGCUUAAAACUUCAGAGCUUUAUUUACUCCUAUGUACCAACAGCUCUAAAUUUUUGUGCACUGCACCCUUAGUUUUUUAGUGAACAAUACUGAUUGCUGAGGUUAUAAUGCAUCUUUCUAUGUGGGACUAUAGUUUUGUCAAGUAAGGCUAUGUACACAUUGAUAAAUCUGCUUCAGAAUAAUAUUGCUAAUAUCUCACUAUCUGAAGAAAGUCAGGUUUAUCAGUUAUUUAUAGAAGACUUGCUUGUUAGAAAGGACCUAAAUAGGUUUUCUUUGUCUAUGUGAAUUUUCGGGGAAUUCUGCUUAUCUUCCACGGAUAGAUGCUACUUCUCCUGUAAUAUUGAAUUGGGUCAUGUGUGUGUCAGCUCUUUGCUUGCCAAAGGAGCUUGUGACUUGCAACUACUACUACUUAUUCAAUGAUCUCUAAUAAUUGAAUCAUUUUGUUCAGAUUCUAAUUAUCAGGUCUUUUCCUCAUCUCUUUAUGUUUUGAGGUGUUGGAUGAGAAAGGGUUAAUGGUGGUUGCUACCAUUCUACAAGAAAUUAGAGAUUGUCAUUAUGAGUGCUGUAGUUGAAGUGGGGUUAAUGUUAAACCAUGAUGGUACCAAGGAGACUUCAUCCAUUUGAAUAUUCUACACUCAAGAAACAGAAAGGUGACAGUUGUCAAAUACAUAUUAUGAACUAGCUGAAAUUAAAAUAUUCUUGUAUUCCUUAGAUUAUUUGUGUCAUGCAAACUCCACUUUAGAAAAUUCCAUUCUAAAUUGCUGUGUGAGAUUAUGUACCAUUCUAAUAUGAUCUCAUGGGGGAAUUAUUUAGCCCAUAGCAACGCACGGGCACGAUCCUAGUGGAAUUGAAAAGAAUAGAGAUCGCGUAUGACAAGAGUACUCUAGGUAAUAUUUCUUCAAAUACCGAUUCAGCUCCCUCAUUUUCACUUCAAUAUUUUCACCAAUGGUAUAGAAAUAGAACUUGAUGAAUUCCACGUCUCAUCGAGCAAAACAUCUCGAAUUGCUAGCAACAUCUUCAAGAAAAGGUGGGCUGUAGGAUGCCUGUUUGCGGAGAAUGCUUUGGUUGCCUCACUUAAAGCAUCACGAAUGUCCUUUACUGCUUUGUUAUUCACACUAGCAUUGUCUAAUGUCAAGGUAAACAGCUGUUCAAUCAACUCCCACUUCAUCAACCACAACUUCUUGUCCUAGAUCCAUAUCACCUAGAUGACACAACUUCUUAGCCUUCGGCCUAGUAUCUUCCAAGUGAACAAAAGAGCCUGGAAUGUGAAUAAGAUCAACAAAUUUGAAUAAAAUACCAACUUGUUUUGGUUUUACUGACUGCUUGUAUUUUUAGUACUACAAUGAGUAGGUUUGAAGAAAAUAUGAUUCUGUAUAUGAUGCAGUUGUUUUGGCUCACAGCUAACUGUAUUUUGUUCCCAUGAUAAAAAAAUUCUGAUCAGAAAUCUUGUUUUUUCACUUCAGAUUAGAAGUAAUGUAAGAUGUCAGAUUAAUGGACGAUGAGGAGCAUAAGUUUUAGGCUUCGAGGACACAGUGCCCCUCCAAUUGCAUACUGAUACUGCUAAAACGAAAGGGGACUGAGGUGACUGGGAUAUCAUCAGUAUCAGAUAUACUAGCAGCUAUGUUCAUGAGCUUCUAUGUGGUGAAACAAGCUGGAGAUGACUAAGGUAUAGGAGCUUUUUUUCACAGAACAGUAGGACCAUUUUCACGAGAUUCAACUGCCUGAUCUUAACUGAAUGGUAAACAUAAGCAAUACCAGUAUGCAACCAACAAAAGAUCUUGCACUCCCAUCUUACAUUCUCUAAAACAGUAACAAUUCUAAGUUCACAGAUCUAGUGGUACUAAAAAGCUCAAUGAACGAAUUUAAUUUGCCAAUGCCAUCCUCCUGCUCUACAAAACCCAAAAACUCAAGCAGAUUGAAGCUGCAAAGGAGAGUUUAAAAAUAGCCAACACUAGCAGAAUACUGCACGAACUAGGCACAGCGCAGUAUAAACAAAAAGACAAAUAGGAAAGGCAAACACAUCAGAUGAAAAUCACCUGCACGCCGACGCCACCUGCGUCCGCUGCUGAGGCCGCCUGCUCUUGCUGGCCGCCGCGCGUCGGCCUAGCCGCACGCCCUGCCGGAGCCCGCCGGGGGCCGGCCCCACGGGAGCGCCUCGCACCCCCGCACCGCCCGGAUCUUGAGUUCUUGCGCCGCCGCCGCCGCCGCACGAGCCUGGAGAGGCCGCGAAAAAGAGGAGAGCCCCUUUCCUGCGAUCCACGGGCUCAGCCCUUCCAAUUGACUCAAGGAUCGAUUAUGGGCCACGUUCACAGGUCAGCCCUUUUAUGGAGAUGGCCCGAUCUGAUCCUGCCCAUUCUUCGGGAAGGCCUUUUAAGGCUCGGCCUAUAUGAGCUUGUAAGGCCCGAUCGGUUUGGCCCUUGGAUUUUCCAGGCUUAAGUAUAGGUAUAAGGUUUUCUACGUAUCUAAAAUAUUUUCCACUAGAAAAGGUUUUCUACGUAUGUAAAAUAUUUCCACUUGACUACCCGAUAAGGCAAUCAUUCGUGUGGCACAUGCCCGGGGCCUACUCGGAAAGUGAGUGCGCAUCCUCUCACAUGAUUGGACACAUCCACUUGACUCCUCAAAGGUCGUCAAUGCUUGCAGCUUGCAUUUUCCACAGAAGCAGCAGCUCUUGAACCCACUGUCCAGCAUCUCCCUCUCCACCCACCAACACUGUGUUUCCCUGUCUACUGCGCGUGUGUUUUGGAGCUCCCGGCGUAGCCAUGGCUGAGGUACUGGCCACCAUGGUGGUCGGGCCACUGGUGUCCAUGGUGAAGGAGAAGGCCUCCAGCUACCUCCUGGACCAGUACCAGGUGAUGGAGGGCAUGGAGGAGCAGCACAAGCUCCUGAAGCGCAAGCUGCCGGCCAUCCUCGAUGUCAUCGCCGAUGCCGAGCAGCAGGCGGCGAAACACAGAGAAGGGGCCAAAGCUUGGCUGGAGGAGGUCCGGACGGUGGCCUACAAGGCGAAUGAUGUCCUCGACGAGUUCAAGUACGAGGCGCUUCGCCGCAAAGCCAAGGUGGAGGGCCACUACAAGGCGCUCGGCAUGGAUGUAAUAAAGCUCUUCCCUUCUCACAACCGUGUUGUGUUCCGUUAUAAGAUGGCAAAAAGGCUCUGCAUGAUCUUGCAAGAAAUUGAUGUCCUCAUCGCAGAGAUGAAUGCGUUCAGGUUCAAAUUCAAACCGCAGCCGCAAAUGCCCAUGCAAUGGAGGCAGACGGAUGCUUGCAUCCCCACUGAGUCUGUGGAGAUUGCCAGCAAAUCAAGAGCUCAAGAGACGAAGGUUCUUGUUGAUCGAUUGCUUGCUGGAGCCAGCAGUAAGGAUCUCAUGGUCCUUCCGAUAGUCGGAAUGGGGGGGUUGGGCAAGACCACCUUAGCACAGCUCGUUUACAAUGACCCUGAAAUUCAGAAGCAUUUCGAGUUGCGGCUCUGGGUGUGUGUCUCUGAGGAUUUUGAUGUGGAUUCCCUGGCUAACAGAAUAGUGAAAGAGAAUGGUUGUAAAGCAAGUGAAAGUUCAUCAGCACUGGACAAUCUUCAAAAGGCAGUGAGUGGGAAGAGGUACCUCCUCGUAUUGGAUGAUGUGUGGAACCGUGAUGAGCCCAGCAAGUGGGAAAGGCUCAAGUCCUACCUUCAGCAUGGUGGCAGCGGUAGCUCAGUGCUGACAACAACUCGCGAUGAAGCUGUUGCUAAACUAAUGAUGGGUACAACUGAAAGAGCCUAUAAACUUGGAAGCUUGGAUGAAGAGUCCAUAGGGAAAAUUAUCAAGGCAAGAGCAUUCGGUUCAAAACAAGAAAAGGAAUGGCCUGGUGAGCUAGUUCACAUGGUUGGUGAAGUUGCCAAGAGAUGUGCUGGUUCUCCUUUAGCUGCUACAGCAUUGGGCUCUUUACUGAGUACCAAGACCAGCAAGCAAGAAUGGAAGGAUGUACUAAAUGGAAGCACGAUUUGUGAUGAGGAAAAUGGGAUUUUACCAGUACUUAAACUAAGUUACAAUUGCUUGCCAUCAUACAUGCGGCAAUGCUUUGCUUUCUGUGCUAUGUUUCCCAAGGAUUAUGAGAUUGACGUGCAAAUGCUAAUCCACUUGUGGAUGACCAAUGGUUUUAUCCCAGAGCAAUCAAAAGUGUGUCCUGAAACUUUUGGAAAAGGAAUUUUCAUUGAGCUGAAGUCAAGGUCAUUUUUUCAGGAUUUGAAGAAUGUCCCAUUUUACGAAAAUGGAUAUUCUAUUCAUGGAGAGGGUGAUGAGCACAGGUAUUGUUCUAGAAUUACUUGUAAGAUCCAUGACCUUAUGCAUGAUGUUGCACAGUCUGCUAUGGGAGAAGAAUGUGCUGCAAUAGCUACACACCCAAGUGAAAGAGAGGAUGUUCUUCGUUCAGCUCGUCACUUGUAUUUGUCAAUCCGUCGAUCAGAAACUCUUCUGAGUGCUUCCCAAGAGAAAGGAUCUCCAGCUUUCCAAACACUGAUUUGUGACGGAUAUGUAGGAGAUUUGAAGAUUUUAUCAAAAUACAAUUCUAUAAGAGCUUUAAAGAUCCGUUGUGGUUCAAUCCUAAGGCCGAAAUAUCUUCAUCACCUGAGGUAUCUUGAUCUCUCGAGAAGUGAUAUUGAAGCACUUCCUGAAGACAUUAGCAUCCUAUAUCAUCUGCAAACACUGAACCUUUCUUACUGUGACUGGCUUGAACGGCUUCCAAAGCAACUGAAGUAUUUGACUGGCCUCCGUCACCUCUACACUCACGGAUGUGAAAAGUUGAAAAGCAUGCCUGCAGAGCUCGGACGCCUGACUUCCCUACAGGCGCUUACAUACUUUGUAGCAGGUACCGAUGACUCCGGUUGCAGUAAUUUGGGAGAGCUGCAGAAUUUGGACCUUGGUGGUACACUGGAGCUAGGAAAUCUAAAAAAUGUGACAGGAGCAGAUGCACAAGCAGCAGGUCUUGGAAACAAGAAAAAACUGACCCAACUGGAGUUAUGUUGGACUGAUAGUGACCAGGAAGCACAGAAUAAUAAUCAUAAAGAGGUGGUGGAAGGUCUCAAACCUCAUGAUGGGUUAAAGGCUCUGAGGAUAAAUCACU
rnacentral:lncRNA from 1 species